rnacentral:lncRNA from 1 species
CUCCACACCUCCUCGAAGAGCUGUGCUGCUAGGAACUCCACCCCUUGAAGACUCUGAGUUCUCUUCAUCUGCAGCAAUAGUGACUAACAGAGUUAUCGAGGAUGAAGAUGAUGCUACUUCACCACCACCUUCUUCAGCACGCGUCAACUCUGCUCCAAGCUCUUCAGCACCGCCAAACACCACCAACGACCCUGCUACUUCACCUACUCCGCAUGGGAACGAGUAGAUGCUCUAUGUCUUCAAACCUUUUUGGUCCUUACUGACAAAAGGGGGAGAAGCAUGAGGUUGAUAGUCUUCAAGCGGGUUCAUAUGGGUGGGUGCUUUAUAUUUUGCUUCGUGCUUACAACUCUCGUUUUGCUACAUUUGGUUCUUUGAGUUGUAACACUUAAACUCGAUGGUCGUCUGCUACUUAUCUGCCACUUUGUUUUGCGAUGAUAAAUUCCGCAUGUGUGACGAUAAAUUCCGCACUUAGACAUUCUGCAGAUGUCCAUUUUCCAUUAUGCAUGUCAUUAUCUUCAUAUACUUUCACAUGCAUAGUGGAUUGUCAUCAUAAGUUGAAGUGGAUCUUCACAAGUACAACCUGCCUUGUGCAUUUGCAUUCCAAAAGCAAAUUACUUAUAUGCACAUCUUCAGGGGGAGCCCUUGCAACUUAUGAAGACAAUUCCUUAUCCUUUACAAUUUCACAGAUUAUAUUCCCCGUUGAAAACUUCAACUAGUUUGUCAUCAAUCACCAAAAAGGGGGAGAUUGUAAGUGCAUCUAGUGCCACCCCUAGUUGGUUUUGGAGUAUUGACGACAAACCUAGUUGAGGGACUAAUGUGUUUGUGAGAAUUGCAGGAUAACACAGGUAGAAGUCCCUCAUUGAUUCGGUUUUCCUACCAGAGAUGACCCCUAAAAAUGUAUGAAGAGAUUGAAGUCAAAGGUGGUAUAUGAAGAUAUUCACAUUGAAGACUAUGACAAGAGAAGACACCACAUGAAGCCUAUGGAGCUCGAAGACUUAGAUCUUUCGUAGUUCUUUUUCUUUUGUGUUGAGUCAUAGGAACCACCGUACUGUUAAGUGGGGUCCAAGAGAACCAGUCAGACUGACUGAAGUGAUGCCUAACCAAAAACCUAUGUCUUCGAGUGAAGACUAUGAGAGCGAAUCUUGUCCAGAGUCGGACAAGUCAGCUUUGCUUGUAGCCCAAGUAAAGUUGCCGUGUGAGUUUGAAAUCUGGCCGUUGGAACACGUGUCAGUUCCUUAGUGACCCAGGGUCAUUUCGGACAAAUCAGGUCGGGUUGCCAAGUGGCUAUAAAUAUCCCACCCCCCACAACCAUAAACGGUUGGCUGCUCAGAUUGAGAGUAUGGCUUUUGUUGUUUGAGAGCAACCCACCUCGAAGCCUUUGAGAGAGAAUUCCUUGCGAGGAUAAAGCCCUAACCACCCAGAGCCAGAGAGAAUUGGGCAUCACUUAAGUCUUCUUGUCUGUGUGAUCUGAAGACUUAUUACACUUGAGGACUGUGCAUCCUCCAGCCGGUUAGGCAUCGCGUUCUGAGCAUCCAAGAGACAUUGUGGAUUGUCGGUGAAUGAAGUCUGUGAAGGUUUGGGAGUCUACCUUGAAGACUUACCAGAGUGAUUGUGUGACAUUAGCUCAAGGGGAUUACGGUGAGGACUGGGUGUCCUGAGUUGCGUGUUCAGGACUGGGUGUCUGGGACUGUGUGUCCUAAGGUUUAAAUACCUAGCUGCCCCAACCAGACGUACAGUUGUCACAGCAACUGGAACUGGUCCAACAAAUCAUUGUCUUCAACGAGUCACUGGUUUCAUCUUCCCUUCCCUUUACUUACUGUUGCUCCUUGUGAAGUCAUUGUAUGUUUGCACUAUCUUUUGUCUUCACUGAGUGACUGCAUGUUCUGUAUGGAUUCAUAAUAUCUUCCUACCCGAUCCUUACUACAUUGCUGCUAUUAAGUCAUUGUGCUUUCACUUCAUUGAAUACUUGACUAUGGCUUGCCUAGUGUAGUCUACCUUCCGCUGCAUGGUAAUAGGUUUAUUUCUAUCGUUUGUCUUCAUAACUUCCACGUUUUGAAGACUUUCAUAAAAAUCGCCUAUUCACCCCCCCCUCUAGUCGAUAUAACGCACUUUCAGAUACAGCCCCCGGACACCGUCAAGCGAGUCCGGAGUAAGCUUUAACAGGACCGCCUGGCACAUUCAGAGCUCGCCUAGAAGUUCGGCCCCCGUCCUAGUCUCAGUCAAGCAACAAAAUUCGUGUCGCGCGUACAUAAUUAUGCACUAAAAAUACCAUAGGCAUAGGCGGGGGCACGAUCAGGGCAUGUCCCGCAAUGCGGCUUAACUGCCCUAGGGUUGCAUACCUUUAUCAUUUUUUCUCUUUCAGGACCUUACUCUUUGGAAGCCCUCUCCGGCAGUAUGAUUGCCGGACACAUUACGGGAAGGAACAACCAAGGAGGCAAGAAGCUAAGACGUACAAGGGAACCCCCAGGUGGUCUCUCAUAACAAUCGACAUACCCGCUUUUUUACUACCCAUACAUAGCUUGCCCUUGGAUAGGACAUGUCAAAUAGUCCUAUUUUUUGCUUAUUGCACUACUUGUAUCAGUUUGCUUCGACGUAUUAUUUAAAUAACAAUGCAUAGCAUUAGUCUAUUAUUGCAUUAUCCAUCCCUUUUUUCGUAUAUGUUCAUUUAAGACAACUUGCACCCGUCAUUCUGGUACGAUCAGUACGCCAGGGGCUUUCCUUUACCCCAUAAAACGGCGUGAGAAGUCCGAACACUUUCGACAGUGCGGCACCCCAAACUUAUAGCAUUAUAUGCAUCAGCUCCGAAUCAUGUCUUGGGUCAAUAGUUGGGUUUGCCUGGCUCCCAUGUUUUGGUACCUUACUUUCCGCUGUAUCGGCUAAGGUAGCGCUGGGAGAACUACUGCGAUUGUGUCCCGGUUCUUCCGGACGAGCACCUCAGUAGAGAAAGCCGAAAACUGACUGUCAUGAUAAGGCAAGAGCUGGUCGCUGUUCGAGAGGUCUCAAGUCCUUAAAGACUUUUUCCGCUUCAGGCGAGGAGUCGGCCUUACCCGACUUAGGCAUAUAUAGCGCCCCAAAUUCAGCCUUCCGAAUACUAGGGGCUUUGCCAAAAUUUAAAAUUGUAGACUUAUAUGGCUAAGUGAGAGUGAUAAAGCCUUAUAGUCUGAUUGCCUGGUUCGUUGUGCUGAACACCUCCCUCAAAGGACCCAAAAUUGGGAUAAAGAGUGCUCAGGUUUAUCCCGAACACCCCGGUACUAUUUACAUGGGGGCAGAAGCCGACAACUUGCCAACUCUCAGAUUUUAUAAACGGCCGCACAGAAGGUAAUAUUUUAAAUUCAAAAAGCGUUGCAUAGCGCAAAUGAACUCAUUUCACAUUACAGGAUCACAUGAGCAUGUUCAUUCAAAAAUUACAUCUCUAGCACAUUCCUCCGCCACAAGGCGGGAAACCUUCAGGACACUGUCAUAAUACAUUUCGGGGCAACGAUGCUCCUUGCCCUCCGACGGCCCCUCCUUCACCAGCUCUACGACAUCCAGCUUCACCCAGUGCACCUUCGCCCGGGCAAAAGCCCUGCGCGCACCCUCGAUGCAGACGAACCGCUUUAUGACUUCAAGCCGUGGGCAGGCAUCCACAAGCCACCUCGCCAGACUGAAGUAGCUGCUAGGCAGGGGAUCGCCAGGCCACAUCUGGACUAUAAGACCCUUCAUGGCCUGUUCGGCCCCCUUGUGAAGCUCGACCAGUUGCAUCAGCUGGUCGCUCAAGGGCAUUGGGUGUUCGGUCCCAGUAUACUGAGACCAGAACAACUUUUCCAUCGAGCUCCCCUCCUCAGCUCGGUAAAACUCCGCGGCAUCCAAUACACUACGGGGAAGAUCUGCGAACGCUCCUAGUGAGCUCCGAACUCGGGUAAGUAAAAGGAAAGUUUCCUUCACAUGCUUGCUUUGCAUAAUGAAUGCCUUACCCGCUGCUAUCUUCUUCACCACAUCAAUCUCCUAGAGGGCCUUGUGGGCUUCAGCCUUGGUGAUCCGUGCGCUUUUGAGUGCCUUCGCAAGCUCAGACUCUCGCGUCUUAGAGUCAAGCUCCAAGUAAGGAUGGCAAUUUUAUCCAUGGACAUGGAUAUCCAUGGAUAUCCGACCCGACUGGAUAGGGUUUGGAUAUGCUUUUGUGUCCAAGGGUGGCGCCCAAACCCGACUUGAUUGUUCGUGGGUAGGGAAUGGAUAUAAUCUUGUACCCAUGGAUAUACCCAAACCAGACCCGAUAGUAUGACUUAAUGGGAAAAAAUCUGCCAUCCCUGCCCCACGUUCACAUGUCCCACAACAAUUUUACACUUUUUUAUCUAAAACAUGCAGAAGAAAUCACACAAUCCCCAUCGUAACUUUUAUAAGUUGACAGUCAAUCCCCUCUGUGACAUACUCCAACACCCCUUCCCUUAUUUUUAUCUCCUUCUUAAAUGACUCGUCAUUCUCAUCUGUUAGAAAAAUACUAAAUGAUCUUAGGUUGUUAUUGGAUGUUGAUUUACCAUAAGUGAAGCCUAGCCUACCACGAGGUGAAGAAUGGAAGAGUUUAUGUUAAUAUUGUGUUAAUUUUUAUUUAUAUGUCUCGAGAGGACCCAAUGGAUAUCCAGUGGAUAUGGAUAUCCAUCGGAUUUGGACAUGGACAGAAUUUUUCACCCAUGGAUUUUUUCAUGGGCGGGCAAAGACUGUCUUCAUGGAUAUGGAUAUGGAUUUGAUAUUGUUCAACCCGAUCCAAACCCGACCCAUUGCCAUCCUUAGCUCCAAGGACUCGUGUUUUUUGGCGAGAGCCUCGAGCUCUUGCUGCACCUCGCCUACCCAGGCUUCUUGCUUCUCCCACUCAAUGCGCUCCUUGGCCGCUUUGUCUUCGGCCUCGGACAGCGCCUUCUUCAGGGUCGCCAUCUCGGUUGUGGCCCCUGGCAAAUUCAUGAUGAUCCUAUUACUUUACAACCGAAUUUAUUUUUUAAUAUAUAGACAAGGUAUUGCUUACCUUUGCUCUCCUCGAGCUGCCUCUUGGUAAGGCCGAGCUCUUCCUCGGACCGCUCAAGGUCCUGCUUCAGUGCAGCGACCUCCGCGGUACGUGCGGCAGCGGCCAGCAGUGAAGCCUGCAUAUGCACAUAGACAUAUUCUGAUUAGACUCCUGAGUCAUUAUUUGAUCCUCUAUUCGGCCUUUCUUCGCAAACGCCAAACACAGCAUCAGGGGCUAUUGUCUAUGCGGUAAUAUUUUCCUAUAUUUUGAUUGCUUACCUGAAAGCCUGUUAGGAGGCUGGCACAAGCUUCGGUUAGUCUGUUUUUGGCGGACUGAACUUUCUCGAUCACUGCACUCAUGAUAGUGCGGUGCUCUUCGUCGAUGGAAGUGCCGCGAAGCACUUCCAGCAAGUUGUCCGGUGCCUCUGGAUGGACAGAGGCCACCGGCACGGGCGGCUUGCCCCUCUUAACGAGGGGUCACCCGCCGGAGUUCGGAACCACACAAGGUUCCGACGCAGUGUUUGGCUGGGUGGCGAACUUGGAGCCCGUGGGAGUCUUGCUCCCUUUGUGCCCAGGGUCCGGAAGGUCGCCUCGAGGCGCCCCCAGGACAACCUCCCCUCGGCUCGGUGCCUUUUGAGACAACACCUGAACGUUGUCCAUAGGGCAAGGGGUGGAGGCGGUCGGAAGUGAAUCGCUAUUCAUAUCCGACGAGUCCAAAGAACCGUCCGACGAAGAUACGUCAAGACGGGCUCAAGACGGACUUCAUAAUCAUAUUCGACGUAAGGAGAAGCAGUGCAAUAGAACAUAUUUAUGAAUUACUAUGGUAUCCGGAUACUUACGACUUCGCCAGGGGCUUGUCCCUGGGUAACCACUCAUCGCCGCUGUAGGAGGCCGUCAUGGAGCAGUCCGGAAGGAGGGUCCUUCCCUUCUUGGACCCUUCGGCCUCCCCGGCUGGGGCGGCCUUCCUUUUCUUGUCUCCCCCGGCUGGGGGGAGAACUUUCCUCUUCCUCCUCCUUGUUUUCGGGGGAGGAGUGCGCUUCGGAGUUAUCGGACGAUGAGUCCGAUAUAACCUUGCGUGGAGACCCUUCCGGGUCCCCGUGGCCUUCUUCUUGGCCUUCUUCACCGACACCUCGUAAGGCGCCGGAACCAGCAUCUCCGUUAGGAGAGCAUCUGCAGGAUCUUCAGGCAGGGGGCUGGGAAAUUGAUCUGCUCUGUUGUCUCCACCCAGUCCUAUUAAUGGCAUGGAAGCUUAAAUCCCGCACAUGAUUAAACUGGGGCAAAUAAAUAUCCUGUGAGAUAUAAAAAAACUUACCGGAUUGGCAUGGCGCUUUGCGCUGAGUCCGCGGUCCUCGGUAAGGGUAGGAGGUACCUCGGCGCCCUUGAACAACACCUUCCAGACAUCCUUGUGCAUCGUGUCGAAGAGCUCUCGCAGUGUCUGGUGCUUGGCUGAGUCAAACUCCCACAAAUUGAAUACCCGUUGUUGACACAGGAGGAUCCAGUGGAAGAGCAUGACCUGGACCACGUUGACGAGCUUGAUUUUCUUGCUCAUCAUGUUCUUGAUGCAUGUUUGGAGUCCUGUCAGCUCUACCGGGGAACCCCAGGACAGGCCCUUCUCUUUCUAGGAAGUGAGCCGCGUGGGGAUUCCGGAUCGAAAUUCGUGGGCCUCCACCCAGUUGGUGUCGCGCGGCUCGGUGAUGUAGAACCACCCCGAUUGCCACCCCUUUAUGGUCUCCACAUAGGAGCCUUCGAGCCAGGUGACGUUAGGCAUUUUGCCCACCAUGGCACCUCCGCACUCUGCUUGUUGGCCGACCACCACCUUCGGUUUAACAUUGAAGGUCUUCAGCCAGAGGCCGAAGUGGGGCCUGAUGCGGAGGAAGUCCUCGCACAUGAUGAUAAACGCCGAGAUGUUGAGGAUGAAAUUGGGGGCCAGAUCAUGAAAAUCCAGCCCGUAGUAGAACAUGAGCCCGCGGACAAACGGGUGAAGGGGAAAUCCCAGUCCGCGGACAAAGUGUGUAAGGAAAACUACCCUCUCAUGGGGUUCGGGCAUAGGGAUGAUCUGCCCCGCAUCUCGCAGCCGGUGCGCGAUGUCCGGGGCCAGAUAUUCGGCUUCCCGUAGCUUUGUGAUGUUCUCCUCCGUGACGGAGGAGACCAUCCACUUGCCUCCCGCCCCGGACAUGCUUGGAGUGGCUUGUGGAGAAAGAUGCGAACUUGGGCACUGGAGCUCGAGUGCGCGAGAAUGGAUAAGCAAGGAGGAAGAAGGCGUGGGUAAAAAGGGUGAAUCUUUGUCCCUUUAUAAGGGUGGAAGAGGCGAUGCGCCUCCCCACUUACCUGGUAAAAUCUCUUAUUCCCCGAACGCCAUAAUUGAUGGCGCGGUUGGGUUACCCAUACCCGUAUUGAUGAGAAUCCCGUGAUAAGGGGACACAAUCUCUGCUUUGACAAGACAUGUCAAGAAAACCGCCUUGCAAUAUGUGCAAUGCUGGUUAAGAAAAACGGUUCGAAUAAUGACCGGGCCAUGGCAUGAUGUCAUGUUGCUAAACGUGUCAGCAGAAUAGAUUUGUGGAGAUAUUAUUCUCUCUACGGUGGUAUGUGGAACUUGUUUUGCAGAGCCGGACACUAUCCUUGUGUUCAAAAUCUUCUAUGGAGUAUUCGGAGAAAGAACCCGCCUUGCAAUGUCGAAGACAAUUUGCGCGCUGGACUCAUCGUCAUUGAAGCCUGGUUCAGGGGCUACUGAGGGAGUCCUGGAUUAGGGGGUCUCCGGACAGCCGGGCUAUAUCCUUUGGCCGGACUGUUGGACUAUGAAGAUACAAGAUUGAAGACUUCAUCUCGUGUCUGGACGAGACUCUCCUUGGCGUGGAAGGCAAGCUUGGCAAUACGGAUAUGUAGAUCUCCUCCCUUGUAACCGACUCUGUGUAACCCUAGCCCCCUCCGAUGUCUAUAUAAACCGGAGGGUUUAGUCCGUAGGACAACAACAAUCAUACCAUAGGCUAGCUUCUAGGGUUUAGCCUCUACGAUCUUGUGGUAGAUCAACUCUUGUAAUACUCAUAUCAUCAAGAUCAAUCAAGAAGGACGUAGGGUAUUACCUCCAUCAAGAGGGCCCGGGCCUGGGUAAACAUCGUGUCCCCCGCCUCCUGUUACCAUCCGCCUUAGACUCACAGUUCGGGACCCCCUACCCGAGAUCCGCCGGUUUUGACACCGACAUCCACCAUUUAAUAAAAACAUGUAUCCGGUUUGCGAUUUAGAAUCGUCCGGAUCAGUGUCAAAGCUUGCAUCGACGUAACCAUUUACAAUGAGCUCUUUGUCACCUCCAUAAACGAGAAACAUAUCCUUUGUCCUUUUCAGGUAUUUCAGGAUGUUCUUGACCGCUGUGCAGUGAUCCACUCCUGGAUUACUUUGGUACCUCCCUGCUAAACUAAUAGCAAGGCACACAUCAAGUCUGGUACACAAACAUUGCAUACAUGAUAGAGCCUAUGGCUGAAGCAUAGGGAACAUCUUCCAUUUUCUCUCUAUCUUCUGCAGUGGUCGGGCAUUGAGUCUUACUCAACUUCACACCUUGUAACAUAGGCAAGAACCCUUUCUUUUCUUGAUCCAUUUUGAACUUUUUCAAAACUUUGUCAAGGCAUGUGCUUUGUGAAAGUCCAAUUAAGCGUCUCGAUCUAUCUCUAUAGAUCUUGAUGCCCAAUAUAUAAGCAGUUUCACUGAGGUCUUUCAUUGAAAAACUCUUAUUCAAAUAUCCUUUUAUGCUAUCCAGAAAUUCUAUAUCAUUUCCAAUCAACAAUAUGUCAUCCACAUAUAAUAUCAGAAAUGCUACAGAGCUCCCACUCACUUUCUUGUAAAUACAGGCUUCUCCAAAAGUCUGUAUAAAACCAUAUGCUUUGAUCACACUAUCAAAACAUUUAUUCCAACUCCGAGAGGCUUGCACCAGUCCAUAACUGGAUCGCUGGAGCUUGCACACUUUGUUAGCUCCCUUUGGAUUGAGAAAACCUUCCGGUUGCAUCAUAUACAACUCUUCUUCCAGAAAUCCAUUCAGGAAUGCAGUUUUGACAUCCAUUUGCCAAAUUUCAUAAUAAUAAAAUGCGGCAAUUGCUAACAUGAUUCAGACAGACUUAAGCAUCGCUACGGGUGAGAAGGUCUCAUCGUAGUCAAUCCCUUGAACUUGUCGAAAACCUUUUGCAACAAGUCGAGCUUUAUAGACAGUAACAUUACCGCCAGCGUCAGUCUUCUUCUUGAAGAUCCAUUUAUUCUCGAUGGCUUGCCGAUCAUCUGGCAAGUCAACCAAAGUCCACACUUUGUUCUCAUACAUGGAUCCCAUCUCAGAUUUCAUGGCCUCAAGCCAUUUUGCGGAAUUUGGGCUCACCAUCGCUUCUUCAUAGUUCGUAGGUUCAUCAUGGUCUAGUAACAUAACCUCUAGAACAGGAUUACCGUACCACUCUAGUGCGGAUCUUACUCCAGAUGACCUACGAGGUUCAGUAACAACUUGAUCUGAAGUUUCAUGAUCAUCAUCAUUAACUUUCUCACUAAUUGGUGUAGACGUCACAUGAACCGGUUUCUGUGAUGAACUACUUUCCAAUAAGGGAUCAGGUACUUGUUACCUCAUCAGGUUCUACUUUCCUCCCACUCACUUCUUUCGAGAGAAACUCCUUCUCUAGAAAGGAUCCAUUCUUAGCAACGAAUGUCUUGCCUUUGGAUCUGUGAUAGAAGGUGUACCCAACAGUUUCCUUUGGGUAUCCUAUGAAGACACAUUUCUCCGAUUGGGUUCGAGCUUAUCAGGUUGAAGCUUUUUCACAUAAGCAUCGCAGCCCCAAACUUUAAGAAACGACAACUUUGGUUUCUUGCCAAACCAUAGUUCAUAAGGUGUCGUCUCAACGGAUUUUGAUGGUUCCCUAUUUAACGCGAAUGCGACCGUCUCUAAAGCAUAACCCCAAAAUGAUAGCGGUAAAUCAGUAAGACACAUCAUAGAUCGCACCAUAUCUAGUAAAGUACGAUUACGAUGUUCGGACACACCAUUACGCUAUGGUGUUUCGGGUGGCGUGAGUUGAGAAACUAUUCCGCAUUGUUUCAAAUGUAGACCAAACUCGUAACUCAAAUAUUCUCCUCCAUGAUCAGAUCGUAAAAACUUUAUUUUCUUGUUACGAUGAUUUUCAACUCCACUCUGAAAUUCUUUGAACUUUUCAAAUGUUUCAGACUUCCAUUUCAUUAAGUAGAUAUACCCAUAUCUGCUUAAAUCAUCUGUGAAGGUGAGAAAAUAACGAUAACCGCCGCGAGCCUCAACAUUCAUUGAACCACAUACAUCAGUAUGUAUGAUCUCCAACAAAUCAGUUGCUCGCUCCAUAGUUCCGGAGAACGACAUUUUAGUCAUCUUGCGCAUAAGGCAUGGUUUGCAAGUACCAAGUAAUUCCAAAAGUCCAUCAGUAUGGAGUUUCUUCAUGCGCUUUACACAAAUGGCAGUGCCACAAAUAAGUUGCACUAUCAUUAUCAACUCUGCAUCUUUUGGCUUCAACAUUAUGAAUAUGUGUAUCACUACUAUCGAGAUUCAUCAAAAAUAGACCACUCUUCAAGGGUGCAUGACCAUAAAAGAUAUUACUCAUAUAAAUGAAUAACCAUCUCGCAUCAAACAAGAUCCAGAUAUAAUGUUCAUGCUCAACGCUGGCACCAAAUAACAAUUAUUUUGGUCUAAAACUAAUCCCGAAGGUAGAUGUAGAGGUAGCGUGCCGACGGCGAUCACAUCGACUUUGGAACCAUUUCCCAUGCGCAUCGUCACCUCGUCCUUAGCCAGUGUUCGCUUAAUCCGUAGUCCCUAUUUUGAGCUGCAAAUAUUAGCAACAGAACCAGUAUCAAAUACCUAGGUGCUACUGCGAGCUCUGGUAAGGUACACAUCAAUAACAUGUAUAUCACAUAUACCUUUGCUCACCUUGCCAUCCUUCUUAUCCGCCAAAUACUUGGGGCAGUUCCGCUUCCAGUGACUGGUCUGCUUGCAGUAGAAGCACUCAGUCUCAGGCUUAGGUCCAGACUUGGGUUUCUUCUCUUGAGCAGCAACUUGUUUGCUGUUCUUCUUGAAGUUCCCCUUCUUCUUCCCUUUGCUCUUUUUCUUGAAACUGGUGGUCUUAUUGACCAUCAACACUUGAUGCUCCUUCUUGAUUUCUACCUCCGCGGCCUUUAGCAUUGCGAAAAGCUCGGGAAUUGUCUUAUCCAUCACUUGCAUGUUAUAGUUCAUCACGAAGCUCUUGUAGCUUGGUGGCAGUGAUUGAAGAAUUCUGUCAAUGACGCUAUCAUCCGGAAGAUUAACUCCCAGUUGAAUCAAGUGAUUGUUAUACCCAGACAUUCUGAGUAUAUGCUCACUGACAGAACUAUUCUCCUCCAUCUUGCAGCUGUAGAAAUUAUUGGAGACUUCAUAUCUCUCAAUCCGGGCAUUUGCUUGAAAUAUUAACUUCAACUCCUGGAACAUCUCAUAUGCUCCAUGACGUUCAAAAUGUCAUUGAAGUCCCGGUUCUAAGCCGUAAAGCAUGGCACACUGAACUAUCGAGUAGUCAUCAGCUUUGCUCUGCCAGACGUUCAUAACAUCUGGUGUUGCUCCUGUAGUAGGUUUGGCACCUAGCGGUGUUUCCAGGAUGUAAUUCUUCUGUGAAGCAAUGAGGAUAAUCCAAGUGAUGCAUAGCAACGAGAGGGGACAGUGUGUCCACGUAUCCUCGUAGACCGAAAGCGGAAGUGUUAGCACAACGCGGUUGAUGUAGUCGUACGUCUUCACGAUCUAACCGAUCAAGUACCGAACGCACGGCACCUCUGAGUUCUGCACACGUUCAACUCGAUGACGUCCCUCGAACUCCGAUCCAGCCGAGCUUUGAGGGAGAGUUGCGUCAGCAUGACGGCGUGGUGACGAUGAUGAUGUUCUACCGACGCAGGGCUUCGCCUAAGUACCGCUACAAUAUUAUCGAGGUGGAUUAUGGUGGAGGGGGCACCGCCCACGACUAAGAGAUCCAAGAGAUCAAUUGUUGUGUCUCCAAGGGGUGCCUCCCUCCCCAUAUAUAAAGGAGUGGAGGAGGGGGAGGGGGCCGGCCACCCUAGGCGCGCCCCAUGAGGAGUCCUACUCCCACCGGGAGUAGGACUCAAUCCCCCCUUCCAUGUGGGAGUAGGAGAGGAGAGGGAAGGAGAGAGGGGGGGAGGAAAGGGGGGCGCCGCCCCCCUCCUUGUCUAAUUUGGAACGGGGGGGAAGGGGCGCACGGCUGCCCGUGGCCGCCCCUCCUCUUCUCCACUAGGGCCCAAUAGGCCCAUUAGUCUCCCCGGGGGGUUCCGGUAACCUCCCGGUACUCCGGUAUAUGCCCGAAACUCCCCGAAACCAUUUCAGUGUCUGAACAUAGUCAUCCAAUAUAUCUAUCUUUACGUCUCAACCAUUUCGAGACUCCCCGUUAUGUCCGUGAUCACAUCCGGGACUCCGAAGUACCUUCGGUACAUCAAAACACAUAAACUCAUAAUAUAACCGUCAUCGAACUUUAAGCGUGCAGACCCUAUGGGUUCAAGAACUAUGUAGACAUGACCGAGACACGUCUCCGGUCAAUAACCAAUAGCGGAACUUGGAUGCUCAUAUUGGCUCCCACAUAUUCUACGAACAUCUUUAUCGGUCAAACCGCAUAACAACAUACGUUGUUCCCUUUGUCAUCGGUAUGUUACUUGCCCGAGAUUCGAUCGUCGGUAUCUCAAUACCUAGUUCAAUCUCGUUACCGGCAAGUCUCUUUACUUGUUCCAUAAUACAUCAUCCCAUAACUAACUCAUUAGUUACAAUGCUUGCAAUGCUUAAGUGAUGUGUAUUACCAAGUGGGCCCAGAGAUACCUCUCCGACAAUCGGAGUGAAAAAUCCUAAUCUCGAAAUACGCCAACCCAACAAGUACCUUCAGAGACACCUGUAGAGCACCUUUAUAAUCACACAGUUACGUUGUGACGUUUGGUAGCACACAAAGUGUUCCUCCGGUAAACGGGAGUUGCAUAAUCUCAUAGUCAUAGGAACAUGUAUAAGUCAUGAAGAAAGCAAUAGCAACAUACUAAACGAUCAAGUGCUAAGCUAAAGGAAUGGGUCAAGUCAAUCACAUCAUUCCCCUAAUGAUGUGAUCCCGUUAAUCAAAUGACAAAUCUUUUGACUAUGGCUAGGAAACAUAACCAUCUUUGAUCAACGAGCUAGUCAAGUAGAGGCAUACUAGUGACACUUUGUUUGUCUAUGUAUUCACACAUGUAUCAUGUUUCCGGUUAAUACAAUUCUAGCAUGAAUAAUAAAAAUUUAUCAUGAUAUAAGGAAAUAAAUAAUAACUUUAUUAUUGCCUCUAGGGCAUAUUUCCUUCAGCUACAGCUAAGUGGCCUGCCCUUUUGGCCCCAGCGGCCCGCUAAACAGCAGCGCAGCCCGGGCCAACCAGCGCUGCUGCUAUUCAGUAGCAAUAGCGCCCGUUUUGGCCGGCGCUACUAGUAAAUACCAGUAGCAUGGGCGCCCAAACCGACACUACUGCUAAAAUUCUAUGUAUAAGCAUUUUCCUAGUAGUGCACCCAUAGUGCUAUGUCAAUGGCUCACGCUCAUGUAUUGCGCGAAAGUUGAAAAAAGUUUGAGAUUACUAAAGUAUGAAACAAUUGCUUGUCUUGUCAUCAGGGUUGUGCAUGAUGAGAGCAUUUUUGUGUGACAAAAAUGAAGCAUAGCCAAACUCUAUGAUUUUGUAGGGACAAGCUUUCUUUGGCCAUGUUAUUUUGAGAAGACAUAAUUGCUUGGUUAGUAUGCUUGAAGUAUUAUUAUUUUUAUGUCAAUAUUAAACUUUUGUCUUGAAUCUUAUGGAUCUGAAUAUUCUUGCCACAAUAAAGAGAAUUACAUGGAUAAAUAUGUUAGGUAGCAUUCCACAUCAAAAACUCUGUUUUUAUCAUUUACCUACUCGAGGACGAGCAGGAAUUAAGCUUGGAGAUGCUUGUACGUAUCCAACAUAUCUAUAAUUUUUUAUUGUUCCAUGCUAUUAUAUUAUCAACCUUGGAUGUUUUAUAUGCAUUUAUAUGCUAUUUUAUAUGUUUUUGGGACUAACCUGUUAACCUAGAGCCCAGUGUCAGUUUCUGUUUUUUCCAUGUUUUUGAGUUUUACAAAAAAGGAAUACCAAACGGAGCCCAAUUGGCGUGCCAAUUUUUGACGAUUUUUUAUGGACCAAAAGAAGACCCCGGAGUAAAAGAGUUGGGCUAGAAGAGUCCCGGGCCGUCCACGAGGGUGGGGGCGCGCCCACCACCCCAGGUGCGUGGGCCUGCCUCGUGGAUGUUUUGGGCACCUUCUUGACGUGAGACCGACGCCAAAAAUUCCUAUAAAUAGAAAAACUUCCAGAAAAUAACCUAGAUCGGGAGUUGCGCCACCAGAAGCCUCCGUAGCCACCGAAAACCAAUCUAGACCCGUCCCGACACCCUACCGGAGGGGGGAAUCCCUCUCCGGUGGCCAUCUUCAUCAUCCCAACGCUCUCCAUGACGAGGAGGGAGUAGUUCACCCUCGGGGCUGAGGGUAUGUAUCAGUAGCUAUGUGUUUGAUCUCUCUCUCUCUCUCUCUCUCUCUCUCUCUCUCGUGUUCUUGAGUCGGCACGAUCUUGAUGUAUCGCAAGCUUUGCUAUUAUAUUUGGAUCUUAUGAUGUUUCUCCCCCUCUACUCUCUUGUGAUGAAUUGAGUUUUCCGUUUGAAGUUAUCUUAUCGGAUCGAGUCUUUAAAGAUUUGAGAACACUUGAUGUAUCUCUUGCAUGUGCUUAUCUGUGGUGACCAUUGUUGAGGAAAUCGUUAACUGGUAACUGCUCGGUUGGCUGGCGAGUAGGGGAUUAAUAGGCUAAUCAGCCAUUUAAUCAAUUAAUCAGACGAUUUAUUAGUUUAUCGACUACUCGGUGACCCUAUGAGUAGGGAUUAAUCGGCAAGUUAACUGGUUAAUCGGAUGAAUUCUUGAGCAGGGGUGGUGACAAUGAGAUAUCACGUGAUCCACUUGAUGUAUGUUUUGGUGAUCAACUUGCGACUUCCGUGACCUCGUGAACUUAUGCAUAGGGGUUGGCACAUGUUUUCGUCUUGACUCUUCGGUAGAAACUUUGGGGCACUCUUUGAAGUUCUUUGUGUUGGUUGAAUAGAUGAAUCUGGGAUUGUGUGAUGCAUAUCGUAUAAUUAUACCCACGGAUACUUGAGGUGACAUUGAAGUAUCUAGGUGACAUUAGGGUUUUGGUUGAUUUGUGUCUUAAGGUGUUAUUCUAGUACGAACUCUUGAAUAGAUCGAUCAGAAAAAAUAACUUUGAGGUUGUUUCGUACCCUACCAUAAUCUCUUUGUUCGUUCUUCGUUAUUAGUGACUUUGUAGUGAUUCUUUGUUGCAUAUUGAGGGAUAGUUAUAUGAUCCAAUUAUGUUAUUAGUGUUGAGAGAACUUGCAAUAGUGAAAGUAUGAACCCUAGGCCUUGUUUCCUAGCAUUGCAAUACCGUUUUCGCUCACUUUUAUCAUUAGUUACCUUACUGUUUUUAUAUUUUCAGAUUACAAAAACCUAUAUCUACUAUCCAUAUUGCACUUGUAUCACCAUCUCUUCGCCGAACUAGUGCACCUAUACAAUUUACCAUUGUAUUUGGUGUGUUGGGGACACAAGAGACUCUUUGUUAUUUGGUUGCAGGGUUGCUUGAGAGAGACCAUCUUCAUCCUACGCCUCCCACAGAUUGAUAAACCUUAGGUCAUCCACUUGAGGGAAAUUUGCUACUGUCCUACAAACCUCUGCACUUGGAGGCCCAACAACGUCUACAAGAAGAAUGUUGUGUAGUAGACAUCACCCGGGGCAGGAGAAGCACCUAGAGUGUGUCGUCAUGGAGCGAUCAGCGAGGGAGCAAAAGGAGGCCGAAGCGCUCCGCCGCCGCGAGCUCGAGUACGAGCAGAUGUUCCUGCAGAUGGGUGUCACGAUGUCGCAGCCGCACGCGUCCAAGGAGGCGGACCUGCGCUUCAUGAAGGCGGAGCAGGCCAAGUUCUUCAUCGACCUUGGCUCCUUCGACGAGGACUGAGCUCCUCCGCCUCCUCCGCCGCGUCGCCACCGCCGCGAGCUCGUCGAUUUUUGGUAGCUAGGCUCGGGGCCGUGAUUCCCCCACUAGUAUGAUCAAUGUAGAUGAACUAUGUAUGAUCAAUGUAGUAUGUAGAUGAACUAAUGUAUGAUCAAUGUCGUUGCAAGUUUCUUCCAUGAAUGCUUUUUUAAUAUAAUUUUUACAGUUUCAUAUACGGGGUCUGAUCUGCAGCGCACGAAAUCAACCCGCAAAUCUCAUCUGCAGCGAACCGUAAACGCGGUUUGCGGGUCGACACUAUACGGGGUUUGCUGGAGAUGCUCUUAGGGCAUCCACAGCUAGGCGUCUUAAAUGUCCGGGCAACCGGCCGGUCAAAAAAACUCGAUCCAUCCGAGUGUCUUAAAUUGGCCUCAAACGUCUGGGUUGACCGACACCUCUCAUAUUCAGACUAAAUCUGGAGCAGAUUUGGGGAGGCCCGAGCGCGACAGGGCGCGUCUGUCACGUCGGACUGGCCUGCGGAUCCCACACGAAAUUGCCCGAAAAACCCAACAGUCAGACGGGCGUCUCCUCCGAUGAAGGUGUGAACGCCACAUGGCGCUGCUCCGACUCGCCGCCCAAGGCCAAAGUCCGGCUAUUUAAGCCGGACGUCGUCCCCGGGCCCUAGCCACAUUUCUUCCUCCCUCUCUGUGCUGCCAACCCGAGCCCAUCCAUAUUUCUUCGUCGCCAUCUCCCUCUUCCCUUGUCGUCCGCCUCCAUCAUGGCUCAAUAGAAGAAGACCACGUACGCUAUGCUAAUGCCAGAGCGCCGGUUCCAGAUUCAGGAAAAGAUCCGGACGAGACGCGCCACCCGGAUCACAGGACGUGUCUGCGGGCGUUUGAGGGGUCGGAUUUGGUAUAUCCGAUUAUAGAUGCUUUUAGUCCUAUGGAUCGAUGGCACUGAUCCCCUGGAUUAUCGUCUGGGGCUUCGACAUGUCUUGAUGGUGAUGAUACAGUGAUAGCAUCAAGUAUAUUUUUGUUAGAUAUUGUCUCCUUUUUUAAUAUUUUCUGCUACCAAUCUUCUUCAUUGAUAUAGUGGCGAAUUAGCGGUUCAUUCUUUGUCUAGCCGCACUUUACGUCUAGUGAUCUUAGAUUAUCGCCGGUUGAGAUGAGCGGCUCAUCAAACUUUUGAAAACCUUGAGUUUCGUUCACUUUGUGCAUCAUCUUUUGCAGUUUUUUCACCUGAAUCAUGGUGAAACUUCGAGAUGCAAAGAGGGGGAUCUUGAGAUGAUGACUUUGAAGAAUCUUGAUGUAAUUUUCGGCUUUGGUGUGGAUAUUUAACACUAUGACUUUGUUUCAUUUUAUUUGAUUUGAGUAUACUAUGUUUACCUAUAAGAUUAUCCCAGGCACUUGAGGAAUGCAUCGCCACUUCCCCUGCCAUGCAACGGUAGGAGCACGAUACCAAUGAAAGUCCUUUGCCUCCAAUCACCUGACACUUUCCAGUAAGGCAGUCAACACUAGCGUAUGCCCGCAGUAUAUAGUGUAUACCAAAGCAUAUACAGUAUUUUUUUUCAUAAUUCUCACCAGCAUGGUCUCAGAAAAAUGAAAAAGGGAAAACAAAACAGUAGUGGCACACACAAAUUCCCUGCCAGCUGCGCAGCUGUUGCUGAGGAGUGAAGAUGCAACAGCAUUUACACUGUUCCUCCGUCGACGGCUCUGCCGGACCGUCCAUCCCCAUGACAACUUUAACUGUUGGGCGCUCAGGAGCGAACUAAAUGCGCAUUCAACACCCGUGGAUCCACCAGUACCGCACUUAUGUCCCAUGGCAGUAACACCACGGGAGCAGCUGGCGACGCGUUGUUUAUAGAGGAGCAACGCCGAGAAAUUUACCCAAAACACAUUUGUUUCGUCAGAUCUUUUCUCCCAUCCCAUCCGCAGAAAGAAAAGCCAUCACUUCCCGAAGGAAACGGGUAUUGACUCUACCAGCCAGUGGACAUGAAAUCAUGAAUACGAUCGAUCGAUCGAUCAAUACCUAUACUGGUAUGGCAUAGUGCAGUGGUGCUGCUGCGAGCUGUCCCCGGGCCGUAGCGUGGUGGCGGUAACAUGCAGUUGUCGUCCUUGGCAUCGCCAUUGAUGCGUUCUGCUGGAGGAAAGAUGGUAAAUACGUACACUGGUUGCAUAUAUGCAUCCAUCAUGGCGGUACUGAUCGUCUCACUGGCGCAGAGCGAGCUGGCAAGCCUGGAAACAGCAAGGUUGCCGCAGAUUUGCCGGUGCGUGCAUGGGCCGGCCGGCUCCAUCGAUCUCCACCACGGCUCCUUCCGUUCGACCUCAUCUCCUCUGCAUGCGCAUCAACAGCAGCGGCUGGGUACGCGUCGGCUGCAUGCUGACCCGGCAACGCGAUCAUUUACUGCUCAGCCUGCGUUCGUUUGACGAUUGAUCGUCCGUUCGUUUGGUGCACAUGCAUCCAGCGUGUCGUAUCGAUCCAUCCAUCGAGUGUGCGAGUGCGAGUAUGAGUAUGGGUGGACUUUUCACGGUGCAAAAGUUAUGGCGCUCUUCGGGGUACAGUUUCUCUCGAUGAAACGAGUAUACUUCUCCGCCUCAUCAUCUUGUAUCCUUCGUGUACUUUGGUUGGUUGUUGCCUUAUAUAUAAAAUGAUGCGAAAGCUUGUUUCAAGAUGAAACAAGUAUACCAAUGAAAAUAUACUUGGGAGUUAGGAACUGGGAGACGAAUGAUAUUUCUCCGACUUUUUGGUCGUAAGAGGGCGCGUCUGGACGGCGGAUCGCCUGGUCAAGAGAGGUCUACCACAUAAUGCAGCAUGUUUUACUGCAACAGGACACAAGAAACUGCCCAUCAUUUUUCAUGACUUGCAGCGUCGUUUCUACUCUCUAGAGUUCGGUGCUUCAUUGGGCUCGGUUGAGCAAGGUCAUUCCUCAGACGGGUCUUUUUUUUUAACUGGCUCAGACGGGUCUUUCACUCCCGGACUAGUGGCUGGGUAGAGAGUUCACGGUACUAGGAGUUCUUUGGACACCUUGGUGCCUCUAAUUACCUGGAGCAUAUGAAGGGAGAUGAGUGGAGGAGUUUUUGAAAAUGCUUACACACGACUUCAGAGAAUCAAUGAACAACCGAAAUCUGACGCUCGCUAGGCGGGGUUGAAGCGAGUCUAGGUCGUUUCAUUUUACAUUAGUUUGGUGUGUCAUGUGUGGGCCGUUCUCUAGUGUUUUUCUACUUGUUGAGGAUUUUUAUAUAAAACGGAGCGAAAGCCUGUUUCAAUAGGAUUUUUGGUCGUAUACUUUCUUUCCUAUCUUUAAUAUAAUACAUGCAGUCCUCCUGCAUGGUUUGGAAAAAAAAAAUCUCCGACUUUGCUUUUUUACAGCCUCUCAUCUCCUAGAGAUUUAUUCUCUAUGAAUGGACGGUCUUGCGAAAAUCAGCUUUCGUGGUAGGGCUCCAUGGGGCUUUCAAAAAUCAAAAAUCAAACAUCACAUUUUGAAUUAAAAAGUUCAAAAAAUAUCCACAUGUUCAUAUGGAUGUAUACUACAUGUGUGUAAAGUUUGAAAAUGAACAUUAAUAUGCCAGCUGCACAAAAAGAACAAAUUCAUGAUUUAAAGACGGUGAACAACCCACAAACUUAAUGUAUUUCAUAGUGAAACUUUAUACACUUGUAAAUAUGUCCAUUCAUGCAUUUAUUUGCAGAUAUUUUUGAAACUUUGAACUAAAAUUUUCAUUUUCAUGGAAUCUGAGCUCCAAAAUGCCUGAUCUUGUUUGAAUUUGAUGGUCACAUAUUUCGUACAGAUGUUUUUACUUGCAAAAGUUAGUGUGAAACUUUGGUCUUUUUUUUUGUAUGAGCACAUCAAUAAAAAAUAUAUCAAACUAUGACAUUGUAAAACAAAUAUUAUAAAUUUGACCAGAGUACUAUUGGCAUGGUACCCUUUUUUUUGCAUAUAACGCCUCAAAAUCAAACAAUGUUGGGUGGACACUUGUUUAAAAUGUUGUGAAUUUUGGGCGGAGGAAGUACCUCCUUCCAGAAUAUUUUAAUAAUUGGGUUGGUCCUACGUCAAACUUCUUUAGUUUGAUGAAGUAUAUGGGAAAAAUAUACUAAUAUCUACAACAUCAAAUGUAUGUAGUAUGGAAAUAUAUUCUACAAUGAACAUAAUGAUACUAAUUUGGUGUUGUAGAUGUCAAUAUAUUUUUUCUAUAGAUUUGAUCGAACUUAAAAAGAAAAGCUUUUGACUUAAAAGAAACCCAAAACUUAAAAUAUGUUGGCAUGGAGGGAGUAGUCGUCUAUACUAGAGAGCUUCACCAGUCGUGGCAGAUUAUUGCAUGUUGUCAUAAAUUUGUCGUUUAAUUUUUCUUCUUAUGCAGCUUUAUCCUUUUUUCACAUUUAUAUUUCCCCGCGAAGAGUGGUCCUUAUAUAUCUUUUAACCAAUUGUUUCAUUUCAGGACCGGCACAUGUCAAAUGCACUCACGUACGGCAGGAAGUCCUCGUCAGCUGAUGUUUGUCUUGAUCACCAUCACAAACUCUGCUCAAUCGAACACGCAAAUCCCUCUCCUAGCUUCGCGAGAAAUGGCAAGGUAAUUGAUCGGCGAGCCUGACACGGUGUACAUAUCGACCAAUUGGCCUCCAAGGACCGUGUUUUGCUUGGACGUAGCAUGUGGAGCUCACAUGGAGAGGUUCAUCAGCUUGGCUGGAUUGCAUGUAAAUGCCCCCAUAUGCCAAUUUAAUUCCCCCUCCUCUGCAUUCAAUAAACCCUCCAAAAUGAAGUACUCCCUCCUUUCUGGUUUAGACUAGUCACAAUAGGAGUAAUUUAACUAGUAACAUUACACAUUCCAAUACAAGAUUGCUUAUGUGUCAGUUAAUUAAUGAGGAGAGAGGGGUUUGUGAUAACUUAGUAGUUACUGUAACAUCACACAUUUUAAUGCAUAAUGAGUCUAUAGCCUAAUAAAUGAACUCUUUCAUGAUAUCACUCAAAUGUUACUACCCAGUAUGAAGGUAGUAACAUAGACUACUAGCAUCGGCAAGUUACUACUCUAUGUUACUCUCCACUGUGAGCAGUCUUAUAGGGCUUAUCUCAAAAUCUUAGUUUUUCUAUUUUAUAAAGCUCAAUUUGGUUGCUCCCCAUCACAAGUUCAGAUUUUAAGGUGCAUUAAAUAAUUGCAUGCAAAUAUUAAGAAUACUAGUAUUUCUGCAGAGGAUAAGCUCGAUAUCUGCAGUGUACAACUUUGCAGGAUUGAGCUUUUGCUUCGAUAAAUUUCUCUUUUCUCUGUUUCGGAAAAUAGAAGCUUUUGAAAGUUUUUUUACCUAACAUGAAAUUGGGCAAUGAUUGAUACAUGUAAGCUUAUUUUUUCCUUGUAAUACAACGAUAGGUUUUUUUAACCGUUCACGAUGAUCUUAGUUGCACAGUAUAUGAUUAUUUCCUAACCUUAGUCGUAAUCUAAGAUGUCCUCCAUGCGGCCGUCUCGGUCUCCUUUCUCUUUCCCAUCCGGUAUCAUCACGAGCGACUAGUGGGUAGCCGCCCCUUUCGUUAACCUUAAUUACAAUAGGUCCUUGUUUUGUUUAGGUUUUCGGUUUUUGAAAAUGUUAAAGAGAUAAUUAACCUUUGCUCUUGGCUCUCUCGGCAUGGCGUGAGCUGAAGCGUAUUUUUAGAUAAAAUGUAUUUUAUUAACUCAAAAUAUAGAAUUAAUCAGAUACAAAGCAUGAUAAACAACACUUGAUCUAUGCAUAACUAAGAUGCAUAAAAAAACACCAACAAUCUGACAAAAGAUAAUUAAAAAUCGACACAUCGGCAACAGUAGAGUCAUAUAGGGGACCCAAACUAUACCUAUGUCGAAUGAGAUGGUGGACGAUCUGGAGAUUAUGUUACCACCAAUGUUUGGUAGAAACCUCUCUAUUCACCACCUUAAGCCGUAUACAGACCGUAUUGAAUAAUGAUUGCUACCUUCGAUAUACCAUAGACCACGAUCCGAAGUGAGUACAUAUAGAGAAAAAUAACUUGCAACGGAGAAGAGUUUUGCCACUUAAAACAAAUCAUUUCUAUAUAGCCAAAAGCGACUGUAAUAUGGCAUAUGCUCCCACCCUUACUAGCAUUCAAAACAUAUUUGAAAUACUGUCCGACCAAUGACCAAAUAUAUUGGCAACAUUUCUGGGAAAAUACAAAUUGAAAGCUAUCUGGAUGAUUGACCGUGUAGAAUGCGUAAACUUGCACGGGAAAAAUAGGUGUUUGAUUGUUUCAUCGUGAGCUGAAGCGUUGGAUUCGCUACAUGAAACUCAAAGUUGGUCUGAGUUGGCCAUGUCGACGACAACCGUUUUCUCCUAGGGUGGCAACCACACGACCUACAUGGGAGUGGUGGGGUGGUUCUUUUACCCAUGGGAUUUGGGAACGCCCCAUGCCUCUUCCUCUCCAUGUCGCGCGGUGUCAUCCCAUUCUCUGGAAAAUUGAUCGCCGUCGCUUGCCGGCGAACAGAUUUUGACAAUACAUCGCAUCAUUGCGUCAAGCUUCCAGGUAGGUUAAUUUCCACAAACCUUGUUUUUCGCUCAGGUUUGCAUCUGCUCGUUGGGGUNNNNNNNNNNNNNNNNNNNNNNNNNNNNNNNNNNNNNNNNNNNNNNNNNNNNNNNNNNNNNNNNNNNNNNNNNNNNNNNNNNNNNNNNNNNNNNNNNNNNNNNNNNNNNNNNNNNNNNNNNNNNNNNNNNNNNNNNNNNNNNNNNNNNNNGUAUAUCUCGUUGAUUCAAUCCAUGGCGACACAUCGAGGGGAAAUGAAUGGGAGGUGGCGUCGUAGCGGCAGAGGCACAACCACAACUCUUGACGUGGUGGUGGGUGUAGGGUGGCGUGACUGCGGGAGAGGCACAACAGUGGCUGGCAAUGGGUGAUGGGUGUUGGGUGGCACGGUAGCGGCGGAGGCUCAAUGAUGACCUCCCAUCAUGUCAUCAACGUCGCUCAUUUCUCGGAGGGUAGCGGUUUUUUGGUGUAGAGGCGCUUGUUGGGACUAGGGCUAUUCAAUUUUGGGGGUUAUAGUGUGUCGGUGUCGAGCGCGGGGUUAUCGCCGACGGCGGCAACUUGCAAUAGAACACAAUGGCAUGGAGGGAAUUUGUCGUGGCAGGAGGAGCUCAAUUUUGCACCAAAAUCCACUAAUUAGGGCAACUUUGCAAUGUUGUUUGUUUACUUAUGCAGAACAUUGGUUAAAAAAAUGCAUGGGGGAUGUUGAUGCUGAUAUCAUAGAGGGUAUGGCGAUUGUUGUCAACAAAGGCCGUCGAAAUGAGGUAAGCGCAUGCUGUGACCAUUCUGUUUUUUUUCUAAUACUAGAUGGAUGGCAAAUGUUUAUUUUGGAUGUCAAGUUAGCCAUCCCAUGUUCAUAUCCAUGGUAAAUUAGCCUAUGUUGCUUCAUAACAGUUUCACAUGCGCGACAAAUGUUAUCUACUUUUCCUCAAAUUAGUCAUAGUAAUUCUUCAAAUCGACGUCAUUUUUUCACAUUGUGUAAUGAACCAUGGGCGGUAGUUAUAAACAACACAUGUCAUCGUAUCUUAACUGUUUAUAUCCCCCCCCCCCCCUCCCGCCCCAUUUGGUCUUUGAUUGAAAACAAGAUGAACUUGUUACAACAAUAUGGCAACUAACUUGGCUACCAAAUUGUGUCAAUUUCCCUAACAUUUUAUUACACCAUUUUUCACGUAAAUACAUUGAGGUCCUUGGGGCACCGAAUGAUCACUAUCAUCGCCAUCAUUUUCAUGUCGGAGCCAGCCUGAAUUUGUCGAUGAUUGUCGAGAAGUCUUCAUGCGCAUGCCCCUAAGGACCAGCGUCGUGGAGCCACAAUCGUCGACGAUGAACCGUUCAGUUGAUUUGAAGUGCUUUGCACCAGAUCUCGCCGUCACACAUGUACGGCGAGAAACCCUAAUAUCACUUCAGUUGAUCUGGAGUGCUUUGCAAUAGAUCUCACCGUCACACAUGUACGGCGAGAAACCCUAACCUCACCGCCCCAACGUGAUGGCAGAAAUCUACAUUGGUGCUCUUUCGACUCCGUCUAGACGGACAAAUUUGAGUAGGAUCGAAGCAUAGAAGACUAACUCAAAGAUGAAGCCCCGCCAUCCACCUGAGUACUGCCUUUUUUUUGCGAGAAGUCAGAGUGCUGCCCUUGUGAGGAUUAAGAAACACUAACCUAAACUACUAGCUGGAGCCAAUGCACCAGUAUUCGCCUCGGUGCUACCAGCCGCCAGAGCGGUAUGUAGAGGGGAGACGAAUGCACGAGCUGGACGAUGGAGCUUGGACGGGAAGAUAACUUUGCCCUAACUGCCAAUGCACGAGGGAAAGAGAAGGCAACGGGGGAUUCUUGUGUACAUUUUAUUAGACUUUUGAACAUUUUCUGAAAUUUUUAUUAGAUUCAGUCAAAUCCUAUAAUCUACUGACCUCCCCCUCGAAUACGAACGUGUUUUGUCCGCCCAGUCAACUGUCAUGCCAUCCCAACACAUGGGCAUGCCUUGUUGUUUUUGGAUAAUAAUAAUGUAGGGGUAAAAACCCAUCACAAGGAGUGAAGAAGUAAUGUUUUUAUAUUAGGAUAAACAUUGUCAUUAGUUUGGUCGCAGUUAGGGGGAGAAGUGAGAAUGUGCACUUUUAGAAAAUCUACCAGCGGGACAUCUGUAUAUGUGAGCAUACCUGCUUUUUCAGUCAGUUUUGCUAAUUCCCAGUGGACUGAUUUAAGUAGUAUUAUCAAUUUCAGAAAAUUACGACUUGGAUUUAGUGAACAGCUGGGUGUGCAGGUUGCAGUUUUCACUAAACUGAAGUUGCACAAUUUAAAACUGAUCGAGGCAUAAAAAUGCGUCGAUGCAUAGACAGAUACUUUUACAGUAGCACACACAUGCAUUUUACUGGAGACUUGGGUUGCCAAGAGUUCGUGCAUGCAUGGUCUAAGGCCAAACUGAUGAUGGUGCGCGCUUGGUCAAUAGUAGGACGGGAUCGUCCAUCAUCCUGCAGCACACGAAUUGAAGCCAUGCACAUCUCCGCCUCAGCUGGAUCCAUAGCUGGAACCCGAAUCAAAAACUUCAAGAGGGAAAUGAAUUUAUUGUCACUAGGUAGGUGAUAAACACGCAAGGCCAGUCCACCAUGAGUCCAUGACCUUUGCCCUGUCUACUCGGAUCGGUCGUGCGUUUCAUGGCGCGCAAUGAAUGCCCUGGCCAACCACUCGGUGGUGUCAUCUCUGCCUCUGCGACCUCCAUUUACCACGCUCUCUCACACAGACCUCAUCAAUUUUCAUGGCGCGUCGGUCUGGUACUGGUAGCUUCUGCACCCCGCUAUUUAUACCCCGUUCUCUUCGCCUGUGUCGUUCAGUUCACUCCACCUCUCCACUCCACUACCACCGAAGCAGCUCCCACUGAAGCAGCGGCGGAAGAAGAAGAAGCUAGAGGACAUGGGGGCGCAGAGAGCUCUCCUCGCGAGCUUCCUGCUCGCCGCGUUGGCCACCCAGGCCUUCGUCGCCGUCUCGGCCAGGACCAGCCCGACGGACAAGGCAAGCCAAGGUGCGUAUCUAGCUACUCUGGAUCUUUUGCAUGCAGCUUGUGGUGAGUAGUGAGCUAGGUUGUAACAAAUGUGGUCUCGUGGCGUGCUCGCAGAUGACGUGAAGAAGCCGGACUGCGUGCCGUCGCUCGACCCGCACAACUUCCCCGGCCACGGGGGCACCACCGUGCCGCUUCCCUCGCACGGAGGCUCCUCCGGCACGCCGCCUUACCACGGAGGCUCCGGCACUACGCCGUCGCACGGCGGCUCCGGCUCGACUCCGUCGCACAGCGGCUCCGGGUCGACGGUGCCUGACCCGUCGCAUGGCGGAUACGGGACGCCGCCUUCGCACGGCGGCUCUGGUUCGCUGCCUGACCCGUCGCACAGCGGAGGAGGUUACGGAUCCACUCCGGACGCGCCAUCCCACGGCGGAGGCGCGUACGGGAGCUCCCCGACGCCUUCCACUGGCGGUGCCUACGGCAGCUCACCCACGCCGUCCCACGACGGGGGCGCCUACGGGAGCUCCCCGACGCCGGCCCACGACGGAGGCUCCUACAGCGGAACUCCGGCUGCACCGUCGCACAGCAGCCACGGGUCUAUCACACCGACGCCGCUCAUCCCAGUCGACCCCAACAGCCUCGGGACAUGCGAGUAAGCCACUUACACCGGCAUCUAGCAUUUUCUUUCUUCUGCGAAUACCACGAGUUAAGUCACUGACGUGUUGGGCCCGUGACGCUCCACUUGUUUUUGCACGUAGCUACUGGAGGACGCACCCCAUGCAGAUCUGGUCGGCGCUGGGGAGCUGGCCGAGUUCGGUGAGCCACUUCUUCGGCGCCGCCGGUGGCGCGGUCGCCGGCGGGCCGAGUAUGAGCAUCCAGGACGCGCUGGCGAACACGAGGACCGACGGCGCCGGCGCGCUGCUGCGCGAGGGCACCGCAGCCCUGCUCAACUCCAUGACCCGCCCGGGGUUCGCCUACACCACCCAGCAGGUGAGGGACGCAUUCGCGGCGGCCGUGGCCGGCGGCUCUGACAGUGCCGCGGCGGCGCAGGCGGCGGCGUUCAAGAAGGCCAACGAGGGGAAGAAGGUGUAGAUCGACCGGAUCGCCAUCGAGUGGGCUUUAGCUAUAGCUGGUUACCUAUAUCUGUGGCAUGCGUUCAUGCAUGCAUGCGUUUAGGCCGGACGGACGUGUGCUUGCGUUUUGGUUGUUCCGUUUGAGUUGAUGGUUUGGUUGUGUAAGUUGGUGUCUUCGUGGGCUAGCUUGGAUCUAUCGUACUACGUGUUGUAAUGAAUCUCCAUUUAAGUUUUUUGCAGUUCCGUACCCUGUCGCAUUGAAUGGAAUAUAUGAAUCGAACUAUUCCUAGCUGGGGGCCUGGUUUCUUUGGAGAGAAUAUGAGUGAACUUUCUGGGAUAUGCUAAAUUCUUAUCUAGAUAAGAAUUAACAAAGUUUCAUCUAACUUUCACAUUUUUUAGAAUGUAACUUCCACACUAUUUAAUUAUUAAUUAAGCAAGGAAAAAAUAAAAGAAAAUCCACAUGAAUCUUCGCAUAAAGUCAAAUGAUGUAGGAGUUAAAUGAGACUUGGUUAUUUCUCAUCUAGAAUUAGACACACCUUUAUUUUUGCAUACUCAUUAGUGUCUCGUUUUACUUAUUUUUUUUAGCAAAAGGAGACGAUUGCCCGGCCUUAAACUGACACGAAAUAGCAAAGAAAAUAAUUUUGAUACAAGCCAUCAUCAAACCUCCAAAAGAAAGAGCAUCCAAGCUCCAGACGUGCAUCACCUAGACAGUUGCCUUCCUUCUUUUUUUUUCUAAAAAGAAGGGUAGAUCUCCAACUAUGCAUGCAAAAGAAGGGUAAAUCUCCAACAAUGUAUGCAGUCAUUUUAUUAAUUAUUCACAAAGAUCAUACAAAAUAAUACAGCAGAUCAGGCCAUCAAAGAAUCCAAUGGCUCACUGUUCCUUAGUCUUACCAAGCCGCCAUUUUUAUUAAUUAUUCACACAGACCAUACAAAGUAAUAUAAUAGAUUGGAUACUGGCCACCAAAGGAUCCAAUGGCUCCCUGUCCCUUGGUCUUGCCAAGCCUCCAAAGCUGAAUACGCACCACAAUUUUGUAAAUGAAGUCAGCCGGGUGUCCAAGAGAUUCUUUGUAAAUGAAGUCAUGAUAUACGCCUCCAGAGUGGCUCGUAUUACUGUGACGAUGAUGUGUCCAAGAGACAGGGCUACAGGCUNNNNNNNNNNNNNNNNNNNNNNNNNNNNNNNNNNNNNNNNNNNNNNNNNNNNNNNNNNNNNNNNNNNNNNNNNNNNNNNNNNNNNNNNNNNNNNNNNNNNNNNNNNNNNNNNNNNNNNNNNNNNNNNNNNNNNNNNNNNNNNNNNNNNNNNNNNNNNNNNNNNNNNNNNNNNNNNNNNNNNNNNNNNNNNNNNNNNNNNNNNNNNNNNNNNNNNNNNNNNNNNNNNNNNNNNNNNNNNNNNNNNNNNNNNNNNNNNNNNNNNNNNNNNNNNNNNNNNNNNNNNNNNNNNNNNNNNNNNNNNNNNNNNNNNNNNNNNNNNNNNNNNNNNNNNNNNNNNNNNNNNNNNNNNNNNNNNNNNNNNNNNNNNNNNNNNNNNNNNNNNNNNNNNNNNNNNNNNNNNNNNNNNNNNNNNNNNNNNNNNNNNNNNNNNNNNNNNNNNNNUCAUCGAUCUGUAUACAUACUUAAAAUUUUGGUAAUGUGUGCAGAGGAAGUGACACAAACAUGCAGCUUGUUGCAUGCAAGUUUAAAUGUAUACUACCUUAAUGCCCGUGAGUUACCUCGAGCAAACAAAUGGAUAUAUCAUGAGCCUCUUGCUUCAGCUCUUCUUCGGUCAUUGUGUUGUUGCUUCACUAUGUUGUCAUCAGACUCCAAGUCCAUUUGUGUUUUCUCCAAAUCUACCAAAUUGCUGUCAUCAUUUUAAUCCCUAACCCACAUAGUAACAAAUGAAUCUAUCAUGAGCCGCUCGACUUUAGCUCCUCAGUCACUACGUCGCCAUUUUCCUACAUUGUCACAUGCUCCAAAUCUGUAUGUGACAAGCAUAUCACAUACAAAUUUGGAGCAGGUCCAAUAUCCAACUUCACAUCGCCCUGGAGGUUAUUUUGCACCUGGACUUGGCCCAGGAACAAAGGGUGCUCUCCUUAGACGAGAGGGAAUUGCGUCAGAGACUUAAGAGAAAGGUCAUUGGCUUAGCGGUGUUGGAAAAGGCGCGUAAGCGUCAAAAAUUCUAGGAUUGCGAAUUUGAACUAAGGAGAUGCCAACACUCGCUACUUCCAUCUUCGGGUCAACCAUCGGAGAAGAAAGAACUUUAUCCACCGCCUAAAGCACAACAAUGGAUGGGUUACAGAGCACGGGCAAAAGGAAAAUAUUCUUCAUCAACACUUCGCCAACAUUGUCAUGAAAGGCCCCCCGCGUAGCAUUGACAUCAAUUAGGAGAUCCUCCCUCCCCCUGGCUGUGACUUAAGAGACCUUGAAGAGCUCUUCUCCGAGGAAGAAGUGAAGGCGACCGUUUUUGGUAUGCCGGGCGACAAAGCGCCAGGCCCAGAUGGGUUUACUGGUGCUUUCUUCAAGGAUUGCUGGACCACUGUCAAAGAUGAUAUCAUGAUGGCCAUCAACCACUUCGUGAAUCUCCACGCUUCUCAUUUUCACUAGCUGAAUUCUGCGAAUGUCGCCCUCAUUCCGAAGAAGGACGGUGUUGAGGACAUCACCAACUUCCGCCCCAUUAGCCUUAUUCAUGUUGUCUCUAAUAUCAUUGUCAAGUUAAUGUCCAACAGGCUAGCACCGCACAUGAAUGACCUUGUCUCGCAAGCCCAAAGCGCGUUCAUUAAGAGAAGAUGCAUUCAUGACAACUUCAUGUAUGUGCGCAACAUUGCACGGAGACUGCACCGCAAGAAAACACCGGUGCUGCUAUUCAAACUUGACAUCAAAAAGCUUUUGACUCCGUGAGAUGGGACUUCCAGCUUGAGUUACUCCAACACCUAGCCUUCCUUCCUAGAUUUCGAGGCUGGGUUUCGACACUUUUAUCUUCGGCCUCCUCUCGUGUUCUUCUCAAUGGAGUUCCCGGUAACCCAAUAAAGCUUGGACAAGGACUGAGACGGAGGGACCCGCUAUCACCUCUCCUUUUCUUGCUUGCCAUCGACCCGCUACAUCAUAUCCUCCGGAAGGCAGCGGAACAAGGAAAUCUACACCCGGUUGGUAGUCAGGCAAUGCCUAUUAGGGCCUCCCUCUACGCAGACGCCGCCGUCGUUUUUCUGGCCCCCAACAAGGAUGAUGUCAAAUUCUUUGCUGAAACUUUGAAACAUUUUGGAGAGGUCACUAGACUGAUCACGAAUUGCAAUAAAAGCCUUGUCACCCCAACCGUUGUGAGAAUCUCGACCUCACAGACAUCCUUCAAUCUUUCCCGGCCAAUGUUCUUCAUUCCUUAUGAAAUAUCUUGGUCUCCCUCUGUCAGUGAAGAGGCUGAAGCGGAUCCACUUUCAACCACUUGAGGAUAAGAUCACGGCCCAACUUGUGCCUUGGUUAGGAAAACAUGUGGCCUCCCCUGAGAGGGUUGUUUUGGUAAAAUCUGUUCGCACAGCCACUGCGAUUUACUUCAUGACAGCCUUGAAUCUUCCGAUUGAGCUCCUGAACAAGAUUGAUGCUCUGCGGCGGACUUAUUUAUGGGCAGGAUGUGAUAAAGUUACCGGAGGCAAAUGUAAAAUUAACUGGGAGCAAGUUUGAAAAUUAAAAACUCAAGAAGGCCUGGGUAUCCUAAAUUUAAAAAAGUUUGCCGCUGCACUGCGUAUUCGGUGGUUGUGGUUUGAAUGGAUGGACCCGAUCAAACCUUGGGUGGGUCUUGGGAACCCAUGUGAUAAGGCUGAUCGUGCCAUUUUUGGGGCUGCUACAAAGGUGGAAGUUGGCGAUGGCCUCUGUGCUUCCUUUUGGGAGUCUGCCUGGCUCGAUGGGUUACGACCCAAAGACAUCGCCCCCAGCAUCUUUCUGGUGUCUAAAAAGAAGAAUUUCUCUAUCCAAAAGGCCAUGCACAAUAACUUCUGGGUCGCCCAAAUCAACAUCAGCGCAGGAAUCUCUAUUGACCACCUAAAUGGAGUUUGCUAAUCCUUGGGAAAAGCUAUCUUCUAUCAAUCUUAAUCCGAACAGGGCGGACACCAUCUAUUGGAAGCUAAUGAACUAUGGACACUACUCCGCCAAGUCUGCCUACGAGGUCCAAUUCAGAGGAUUGAUUGAUACUGACCUCGUACAAACUCUUUGGAAGAACUGGGUGCCCCCCAAUGCCAGUUUUUUUGCUUGGCUUGUCAUAAAUAAAAGGAUUUGGACAACAGAUCGACUCCAAAGAAGAGGAUGGCCUAACUGCAACCUAUGCCCCCUUUGUAAGCACAUCCAAGAAACAGCGGCUCAUCUUCUCUUUUAUUGCAGAUACACAACAAGAGUUUGGGACAUGAUCAAGGGAUGGCUGGGUAUGCAUGAUGUGAACCUACUACAAUGGGGUCAAAUGGAGUCUGUUAAAGAGUGGUGGAGCCUUAAUGCAACCAGCAGGAUGCAAUUCUGACGACCACUCAUCUCCCUAAUGCUUCUCAUAUCAUGGGAAAUAUGGAAGGAACGCAAUGCCAGGGUCUUCCUCAACGUUGUAGUGCCGGUUGGAGUAAUCAUAGCUAAGAUUAAAGAGGAAUGUAGUCUAUGGGGUCUUGCUGGGGCGAAGUAUUUGCGUACUCUAAUGCCUCGAGAGUGAUGUUUUGUAAUCUAGCUUGUGGCCAAAACCUCUAAACCUUCCUCCUUAUUCAAUGAAAAUGGCAAAUUUUUUGCCUAGUUUCAAGAAAAAAUAUGUAUGUGUUUAUUCCAAGUUCACCAAAUUGCCAUAGUCAUUCCCAUCGUCCCCAACUUCAAAUGGCUUGCAUAAUAUUCGUCCACUCCCUCCUCAAAGUUCUGGCAAAUUCAAAAAUUGCCCAAAACAAAUUUGUAAUGUUAUGCAUCGUAAAUCUCAAAGUGCCUUCCUUUUAUUUUUUUUAGCAUUGCAUGAGAGCUGCUAGCUCCACUUGGAUGAACCCUCCUACCCCAAGAUUAAAAUCACCCAUACAAAAGAAUAGCCUAGCACUUUACAUCCUCUUAAUAAUUUGUUACUCCAUCACUAACCCUAACAUAGCCCAAUAUCACCAAGGACACCUACACGCCAGUGCCUUCAUCUUGUCUCUCCCUUCUCCCUGCCACUUGGUCCACUUGUGAGUUCAUUAUAGAAAGAAAAGCUUCACAAGAUAUUGAAUGCACUGCAGUUUACAUGGACUAGUCGGCAAAAAGCUUGAAAACAUGUGGUUGCUUGAUGGAUUAAGUAGGUCCAUUAGGCCUAAUAGGAGAUCUCGGGAUCCCGAAAAAAAAUUAUAUGAGACCGGAUCUCAUAGGCGAGGAUGUGAGACCCAUCCCGAUGAGUGACACGUGGCACACACAAUCUUGAAGCAUCUAAUCCCACUGUGCCCACCGAUUUGCAAUCCCGACUCCUAUUCCCAAUUCCAAUUCCGUAGUUCGCUUAACGUAUCAUAAGGAUCUGUAUGAGAUAUGUACGUAACCAUGGGGAGCUAGGGUUCGCUUCUCCUCCUGCGAAGCUCUUCCAUGGCGGCACCGAAUGACCUCGGCGGUGGCGGCUGCACAAUACCUCCCAACCAAGACUUGUUGUCCAUGGCCACGUCGAAUGACCUCGUCAGCAGCGGCCGCAUGGCUCCAUGCUACCACGACUCUCCAUCCAUGGCUGGCCGCGCCGAACAAUCUUGUUGCCGGUGGCCAUGUGGCAUGAUGCUAUGACGACUUCUCAUCUAUAUGCCACGCCAAAUGACCUCAUGGCCGGCAGACGCGCAAUGGUAGCCGUGCGGCAAGAUGCAUCCAGCUACUAUGUGACGCCGCACUUGUCCACGACGGCGAACUCUGUUGGUUCCAGUGUCAGCUAACAUGUCAUGUCUGUCCAGGCUCUUCCACUCCCGGUAGUGAACAAUAUGAUUUCAUGAGAAGCAGUACAUGCCUACAUCCUACAUGGAUCGAUCUGUUUGUACUCAUGAACUUGUGAUAUACAAGCAAAUAAGCAACGAAAUUGAUGCAUCCUGGCGCUCACUAGUAGAAAAACGACCUUAUGUUCACCUCAUUAGUUCCGGUUCAAUUACAAACUGGCACUAAUGUGACUAUCAGUGCUGGUUCCAACGGCUAGGAGGGCGGCACUCAUUAGUCCCGGUACGUGUUGAACCUCUAGUACCGGUUUGUGCCAUGAAAUGGGACUAAAGAGGUGGUGGCAGGUUGGUGUCAGGUGGGGCCCCACCAACACCUUUAGUUCCGGUUUGUGGCAUUAACCGGGACUAGAGAUGCACCUUUAGUCCUGGUUUGUAUAACCAACCGGGACUAAAGAUGCCUCUAUAUAAACCCUUCAUCGAGCCCGAGCUCAUUUCUCUCUGUUUUCCCCUUUCAUUCCUUCCUCUCCUCUGUUCUUCCCCAUUGCUCGAGCUCAUCCUUCAUUUUUGCCAAAAUUUGUCAAGAUUUGAAGGCCCCCCAUCCAUCCAAGUGAUCACAAAGGUUAGCAACCUUGUCCUUUCAUCUCUCAUUGCUAGAUUAGCUCUUGCAAUGCUCUAUAAGUAUAGUGAUUUGUGGGUUUUAGUUUGGGAGUAAUUAUAUGUGGUAGUUUAUUUGAUGUAUAUGCAAUCUGAGCUCAAAUUAACUCUUAGUUUGCAUAUGUAGGUGUGGUUUACUUAGUGCCUUCCCGUCCCCGUCCUAACCACCGUCGAUCGCCCGCACCGUCCUGUCGCCGGCACCACCUUGGUGAUCCUCUUGUUCUUAUCUUUUUAUAUAUAAAAAAUCAUGUUUAUGUGAUUUAGAUAUAUAGUUACUUGUAUAAUUUUCUUACCCGUACGUUGUUUGUUAUACAUAGUGCCAUGGUUUUGAUAUUCGUCCCCGUCGGCUCUCGUCUAGUUUAUGAUUCAGAUGUGGUAUAUUCUCUUUUAUAACUAUUUGUUGCAUUUCGUGUUUAUGACAAAUGAUGCCCAUCAAGUUGACAUAGAUAUUUUUUUAUCUAGGAGGUAUGUGAACCGGAAAUUCCAACCGACCCUCUUGUCCAGAGGUUAAAUUUAGUUGAAAAAGAAAACGAGUAUUUGAAAGAAAAAUCAAAAAGAAUUGAAGAAGAGAAGAUGAAACUGGAGUUGUAUGUUGCUGAUGUCGUUGAUGAUCACAAGAUCAAGAUGGUGAAAAUGCGCUUGAAGGUUAGAAAGAUUAGAAAAUGCCAUUGAUAGUGAGGCUUGGUAUCAUUAUCAUGUUGGAUCAAUUGUUACCUUAAUUGUGAUCUUGAUCGCAUUUGUUCUUGCAUUUAAAUGCUUUAGCUAGAGAGUUUGUAUGUUGUUUUAUGAGAAUAAGUGUGUCUGAACUUUAUGUAUGAACUUGUAUUAAUUUGGUAUUUUAGGUGUGAUGUCUGCUAGAACUACGUCGAUAUUUCCCCAAAGAGGAAGGGAUGAUGCAGCACAACAACGGUAGGUAUUUCCCUCAGUGAUGAGACCAAGGUUAUCGGACGAGUAGGAGAACCACGCAACACUAUGUGAACGACAUUGCACACAAAUAACAAAUACUUGCAACCCGAUGUAUUAAAGGGGUUGUCAAUCCCUUUUGGGCAACGACGCUAGAAGUUGGCAAGUAGACGGGAUAAAAUAUGAUAGAUUGGAUAAAUAGAUCUCGACGGAGCGCAAGAUAAAAUAAAUAAGAAUAAAUUGUAGCAAGGUAUUUUUGGGUUUUUGGAAAUAUAGAUCUGGAAAUAAAAGCAAAUGAAAAUAGAUCACAAAGGCAAAAAUAAUAAGGAAGAUACCCGGGGGCCGUAGAUUUCACUAGUGGCUACUCUCGAGAAAAAUAGAAAAUAGUGGGUAAAUGAAUUACUAUUGGGAAAUUGAUAAAACUUCAAAUAAUCAUGAUGAUAUCCGGGCAAUGAUCAUUAUAAGGCAUCACGUCCUAGAUUAGUAGACUGACUCCUGCUUGCAUCUACUACAAUUACUCCACAUAUCGACCGCUAUCUAGCAUGCAUCUAUUGUAUUAAGUUCAUGGAGAAAGGGAGUAAUGCAAUAAGAACGAUGACAUGAUGUAGACAAGAUCUAUUUAUGUAGAAAUAGACCCCAUCUUGUUAUCCUUAAUAGAAACGAUACAUACGUAUUGGUUCCCCUUCUGUUACUAGGAUCAAGCACCGUAAGAUCAAACCCAUCCCAAAGCACCUCUUCCCAUUGCAAGAUAAACAGAUCAAGUUGGCCAAACAAAACCCAAAUAUCAGAGAAGAAAUACGAGGCUGUAAGCAAUCAUGCAUAUAAGAGAUCAAAGGAGACUCAAAUAACUUCCAUGGAUAAAAAGAAAGAUCUGAUGAUAAACUCAAAGUUCAUCGGAUCCCAACAAACACACCCCAAAAGAGUUACAUCAUAUGGAUCUCCAAGAGACCAUUGUAUUGAGAAGCAAGAGAGAGAGAGAGAGAGAGAGAGAGAGAGAGAGAGAGAGAGGAAGCCAUCUAGCUACUAACUACAGACCCGUAAGUCUACAAAGAACUACUCACGCAUCAUCAGAGAGGCACCAGUGGACAUGAUGAACCCCUCUGUGAUGGUGUCUAGAUUGGAUCUGGUGGUUCUGGAACUUGUAGCGGAUGGAAUUGAUUUUUGUCAACUCCCCUAGGAUUUCUGGAAUAUUGGGGUAUUUAUAGAGCAAAGAGGCGGUGCGGGAGGCCACCAAGGUGGGCACAACCUACCAGGGCGUGCCUGGGCCUCUAGGCGCUCCCUGGUGUCUUGUGCUCACUUCGGGAUCCCUCUUCAAUACUUCUUUGGCCCACUAGAUGUCUUCUGGUCCAGAAAAAAUCCACAAAAAGUUUUAUUGCGCUUGGACUCCGUUUGGUAUUGAUUUCCUGCGAUGUAAAAAACAGGCAGAAAACAACAACUGGCACUGGGCACUAUGUCAAUAGGUUAGUACCAAAAAAUAAUAUAAAAUGACUAUAAAAUAAUUGUAAAACAUCCAAGAAUGAUAAUAUAACAACAAGGAACAAUCCAAAAUUAUAGAUACGUUGGAGACAUAUCAGCAUCCCCAAGAUUAAUUCCUGCUCGCCCUCAAGUAGGUAUAUGAUAAAAACAGAAAUUUUGAUGUGGAAUGCUGCCUAACAUGCUCAUCUCAUAUUCUUUUCUUUGUAGCAUGGACAUUUGGACUUUUAUAUGGUUCAAAGAAAUAGUCUAGUUUUGACAUGAGUACUUUAAUACUCAAGCAUAUUAACAAGCAACCAUGUCUUUCAAAUGUCAACGCUAAAAUAAGUUAUCCCUAGCCCAUUAUCCUCAGUCAUUGAUCCAUUCAUGAAACACACUCGCAUAUUAGCUACACCAAAUGCUCAAGUAUGAUCGUAGUGCCCCUUAGUUGGUGCUUUAUAAGAGAAGAUGGAGAGUCAAAUAAAAAAAUAAAAAUUGCAUAAAGUAAAAGAAAGGCCCUUCGUGGAGCGAAGUAGGGAUUUGUAGAGGUGCCAGAUCUCAAAGCGAAAAAGAUAGAGAUAAAAAAAAUUUGGGAGGCAUGCUUUUCCUGUCAACGAAAACGAUCGAGUAAUUCCCAAUACUUUCCAUGAUAGAUAUGUCAUAGGCGGUUCCCAAACAGAAAUUAAAGUUUAUUCCUUUUUCAACCAUACUUUCACUUUCCAUGGCUAGCCGUAUCCACGGGUGCCUUCCAUACCAACACUUUCCAGGGAAUUUAUUAUUUGACAACAUAAAGUAAAUUCAUUUUUCAUUUCGGGACUGGGCAUCCCUAAUACCUUUGCCUUACUCUCGUGCAAUGACAAGUGAAUAAACACUCAUCUUGAGAAUAACACAUCUAGCAUGGAAAUAUACUAGCCACUCCCUACCGUUUCAUAAGCGGUACGAGCACACAAAAGAGAAAUUUAUUUUGAAAAUUAGAGAUGGCACAUACAAAUUUUCUUAGAACGGCAAAAGAAUACCACAUAUAGGUAGGUAUGGUGGACUCAUAUGGCAAAACUGGUUUAAAGGAUUUUGGAUGCACAAGUAGUGAUCAUACUUAGUGCAAAAUGAAGGCUAGCAAAAGAUUGAGAAGCGACCAACCAAGAAACAAAAAAUCUCAUAAGCGAGCAUUAAGCAUAAUUAACACCGAAUAAUGCACCACAAGUAGGAUGUAAUUUCAUUGCAUAACUAUUGAGUUUCGUGCAUGCAUAGGGAAUCACAAACCUUAACACCAAUAUUCUUACUAAAUCAUAAUUACUCACCAACAUGACUCACAUACCACAUCAUCAUAUCUCAAAACUAUUACCAAGAAUCAAGUUUAUUUUGUCCAAUGAUCUUCAUGGAAGUUUUUAUUAUAUCCUCCUUGGAUAUCUAUCACUUUGGGACUAAUUUUCAUGUGUUGCUUUUGAUAAGCUCAAACAAAUAUAAGUGAAGAUCAUGAGCAUAAUAUUUCUUUCUCUCAAAUUAAUUUAAGUGAAGCAAGAGAGAAUUUCUUCAAAAAUACUAAAGCACACCAUGCUGAAAAAGAUCUGAGUGAAGCACUAGAGCAAUUCCAUAGCUCAUAAAGAUUUAAGUUAAGCAUAGAGAGCAAUUCUAACAAGUCAUGGCAUAAUUUUGGCUCUCUCAAAUAGGUGUUUCUAGCAAGGAUUCAUAACUUAAAACAAAUUUCAAAACAAGCAAAGACUCAUAUCAUACAAGACGCUCCAAGCAAAACUCAUAGUAUGUGACGAAUAAAAAUAUAGCUUCGAGUAAAAUACCGAUGGUCGUUAGAAGAAAGAGGGCAUGCCACUCGGGCAUCCCCAAGCUUAGUUGCUUGAUUCUCUUUGGAUAAGAGCUUGGUAUGCCAUGGGCAUCCCCAAGCUUAGGCUCUUCUUACUCCUUAUUUCUUCAUCCAUCGUAACAUCACCCAAAACAUGAAAACUUCAAUCACACAAAACUCAAGAAAACCUUCAUGAGAUCCAUUAGUAUAAGAAAGCAAAUCACUACUAUAAGUAAUGUUGCAAACCCAUUAAUAUUUUAUUCUUGCAUUAUAUCUACUAUAUUCAAACUUUUCUAUGGCAAAAACUCUUCAAAGAAAACCAUAGAAUCGUCAAACAAGCACACAACGCAAAGAAAACAGAAUCUGUCAAAAACAGAACAACAUGUAGGAAUCUGGAUAUUUCAAAUACUUCUGUAACUCCAAAAAUUCUGUAAAAUUAGGAAUACGUGAUUAAUUUGUAUAUUAAUCUUCUUAAAAAUAAUUGGUAUUUUAUCAUGCUUCUUUUGAAAAUGAGAAGCGUUUUUGUGAGUGCAAAAGUUUCUAUUUUUCAGCAAGAUCAAAUCAACUAUCACCCAACAUGAUCCUAAAGCCUUUCCUUGGCACAAACACUAAUUAAGACACAAAAAACAAAAUCAUAACAGUAGCAUAAUUGUUCAAACACUCAAGAACAAAAAGCAAAAGACAAAAAAUAAAUUUCAUUCAUUGGGUUGCAUCCCAACAAGCGCUAUCGUUUUACGCCCCUAGCUAGGCAUAAAACACGGAUCUAAGUAUUGUCAUCCUUGUUUCUAGAUCCAUAAGACUCCCUCAUGAUUGAUUAGUAUGGUGGCCUAAUUCUUGUUCUAGGUAAGUAUUCCAUACCUUCCUUAGUGUAAAUUGAAAUAUAAUAUUGCCUUCUUUCAUAUCAAUCACGGCACCAAUAGUACGUAAAAACGGUCUACCAAGAAUAAUUGGACAAGACAGAUUGCAGUCAUAUCAAGAAAAAUAAAAUCUAUGGGCACAUAAUUCCUAUUUGCAAGAAUAAGAACAUCAUUAGUUCUUCCCAUAGGCUUUUUAGCAGUAGAAUCCGCCAAGUGCAAAUUUAAAGAACAUUCUUCAAUAUCGGUAAGACCAAGCACAUCACAUAAAGAUUUCGGAAUUGUAGAAACACUAGCACCCAAGUCACAUAAAGCAAAACACUCAUAAUUUUUAAUCUUGAUUUUGAUAGUAGUUUCCCACUCAUCAUGUAAUUUUCUAGGAAUUUAAACUUCUAAUUCCAACUUUUCUUCCAAGGAUUUCACCAAUGCAUCAACAAUAUGUUUAGUAAAAGCUUUAUUUGUUCAUAAGUAUGGGGUGAAUUUAUCAUGGAUUGCAACAAAGAAGUACAAUCAAUCAAAGAGCAAAUAUCAUAAUUAAAGUCUUUGUAAUCCAAAAGAGUGGGCACAUCACUAGUUAAAGUUUUGACCUCUUCAAACCCACCUUUAUCAAUUUUCUCAACAAGAUUUUCACCCUCCAAAUUAUUGGGACGCCUUCUAGCUAAAUUAGACUUUUCUUCAGUCCCUUUAUUAUCAAUCCUAAUUUUACUAAACAAAGAAUCAAUAGAAGAAACACCAAUCAUUUUACGAUCUUCAUCAUUCUUAUGAAAGCAAUCACUAGAAAACACUUUUUCUAGAAAUUCUCUUCUAGCUCUAAGCAUAGCGGUUCUUUUCUUACUUUCUUCCAUAGAAACAUAAAGAGCUUUAAUUGAUUCCUGAAGCUUAGGCACAAAAAUUUCAUCUUGAGAUUUUCUACAUCAUGAGAAAUUCUAUCAACACUUCUAGACAAAUCAUCAAUAUUAUUCAACUUUUCUUCCAUUGUAGCAUUGAAAACUUUUUUAGUGUUGAUAAAAUCUUUAAUAUUAUUCUCAAGAUAAGAGGUGUUCCUAUUAUUAUUAUUAUAAGAAGGAUUACCAUAGGAAUUACCAUAAUUAUUAGAGGAAUUACUAGGAAAAGGCUUAGGAUUAAAAUUACCUCUAUAAGCAUUGUUAUUGAAAUUGUUUCGCGAGAUAAAAUUCACAUCUAUGGCAUCACUAUUUUGCUCAAUCAAAGUAGACAAAGGAAUAUCAUUGAAAUCAAUAGGAGCACUUUUAUUAGCAACCAAUUUCAUAAGAGCAUCAACUUUUUCACUCAAAGAAGAAAUUUCUUCAACCAAAUUAACUUUUUUACUAGUAGGAGCUCUUUCGGUAUGCCACUGUGAAUAAUUUGGCAUGAUAUUAUCAAGCAAUUAGGUGGCUUCACCAAAAGUAAUUUCCAUAAAAGUACCACUCGUGGCGGAAUCUAAAAGAUAACGAGAAACAAAAUUCAACCCCGCAUAGAAAAUUUGUAUGAUCAUCCAAAGUAUCGAAAAAUUGAUCUUUCAUAACAAGAUUCAACAAAGUGGUAUUAAUAUCACAAGACUCCGCACUAGUGGUGGGAGGAGCAGUCAAAGUGCUAAUAAAAUCAUUGUUUUUGGUAUUGGAGAAAUCACACAACUUGGUGUUCUCUUGAGUCAUUGUGGCUAUGCAACAAGAUUGCACUCAAAAACAGAUCCGGCAAGAAAACGGCGAACGAAAAACAGGGUGAAUAAAAUGACAAAUUUUUGUGAAGUGGGGGAGAGGAAAAUGAGAGGCAAAUGGCAAAUAAUGUAAAUUUCAGGGAGAUGAGAUUUUUGAUUAGGAACCUGGUAGAUGUUGAUGAUGUCUCCCCGGCAACGGCGCCAGAAAUUCCUUUUGAUGUCUGCUAGAACUACGUCGGUAUUUCCCCAAAGAGGAAGGGAUGAUGCAGCACAACAACGGUAGGUAUUUCCCUUAGUGAUGAGAUCAAGGUUAUCGAACCAGUAGGAGAACUAGGCAACACUACGUGAAUGGCAUGUGCACACAAAUAACAAAUACUCGCAACCAGACGUAUUAAAGGGGUUGCCAAUCCCUUUUGGGCAACGGCGCCAGAAAUUGGCAAGUAGACGGGAUAAAAUAUGAUAGAUUGGAUAAAUAGAUCUCGCGGGAACGCAAGAUAAAAUAAAUAAGAAUAAAUUACAGCAAGGUAUUUUUGGGUUUUUGGAAAUAUAGAUCUAAAAAUAAAAGCAAAUGAAAAUAGAUCGCAAAGGCAAAAAUAAUAAGGAAGAGACCCGGGGGCCGUAGAUUUCACUAGUGGCUUCUCUCGAGAAAAAUAGCAAACGGUGGGUAAACGAAUUACUGUUGAGCAACUGAUAAAACUUCAAAUAAUCAUGAUGAUAUCCAGGAAAUGAUCACUAUAUAGGCAUCACGUCCAAGAUUAGUAGACCGACUCCUGCCUGCAUCUACUACUAUUACUCCGCACAUCGACCGCUAUCCGGCAUGCAUCUAGUGUAUUAAGUUCAUGGAGAAAUGGAGUAAUGCAAUAAGAAUGAUGACAUGAUGUAGACAAGAUCAAUUUAUGUAGAAAUAGACCCCAUCUUGUUAUCCUUAAGAGCAAUGAUACAUACGUGUCGGCUCCCCUUCUCUCACUGGGAUCAAGCACCGUAAGGUCAAACCCAUCACAAAGCACCUCUUCCCAUUGCAAGAUAAAUAGAUCAAGUUGGCCAAACAAAACCCAAACAUCGGAGAAGAAAUACGAGGCUAUAAGAAACCAUGCAUAUAAGAGGUCAAAGAAGACUCAAAUAACUUUCAUGGAUAAAAAGAUAGAUUUGAUCAUAAACUCAAAGUUCAUCGGAUCCCAACAAACACACCGCAAAAAGAGUUACAUCAUAUGGAUCUCCAAGAGACCAUUGUAUUGAUAAUCAAAAGAGAGAGAGAGGAAGCCAUCUAGCUACUAACUAAGGACAUGUAGGUCUACAAAGAACUACUCACGCAUCAUCGGAGAGGCACCAAUGGACGUGAUGAACCCCUCCGUGAUGGUGUCUAGAUUCGAUCUGCUGGUUCUAGAACUUGCGGCGGCUGGAAUUGAUUUUCAUUGACUCCCCUAGGGUUUCUGGAAUAUUGGGGGUAUUUAUAGAGCAAAUAGGCGGUGCAGGAGGCCACCGAGGUGGGCACAACCCUCCAGGGCACGCCUGGGCCUCCAGGCGCACCUUGGUGUCUUGUGCUCACCUCGGGCUCCCUCUUCGGUACUUCUUUGGCCCACUGGAUGUCUUCUAGUCCACAAAAAAACCACAAAAAGUUUCACUGCAUUUGGACUUUGUUUGGUAUUGAUUCCCUGCGAUGUAAAAAACAUGCAGAAAACAACAACUGGCACUUGGCACUAUGUCAAUAGAUUAGUACCAAAAAUGAUAUAAAAUGACUAUAAAAUGAUUGUAAAACAUCCCAGAAUGAUAAUAUAACAGCAUGGAACAAUAAAAAAUUAUAGAUACGUUGGAGACGUUUCACGGUGCUGCGUAAUGAAGAUGAACUGACAAUGGAUGUACGAUGACCAAUGCUCUCCCCAGUUCGUUAAUGGCGUGCGUACUUUUCUACUCGCGGCUGAGGCAAACAAGCGGGCGGAUGGUUUUAUGUGUUGUCCAUGUGCUGGCUGUAAGAAUGAUCGGAAUUACUCUAAGUCAAAAACCAUUCACGCCCACCUGUUUGAGUUCGGUUUCAUGCCCCACUAUAAUGUUUGGACCAAACACGAAGAAAGAGGGGUUAUGAUGGAAGACAAUGAAUAAGAAGAGGACGACGACAGAUAUCCUGGCCAUGGGUUCCCUGAAUACGAUGGUACAACAAUGGGGGAAGAAGCUGAGCCGGCAAUGCGGGAAGAAGCUGAAGAAGAGGCAUCAGAUGACCCCGUUGAUGAUCUUGGUCUGGCCAUUGCCGAUGCAAAGAGAAACUGUGCAAGUGAAAAGGAGAGGCUGAAGUUGCAGCGCAUGUUAGAGGAUCACAAGAAAUUGUUGUACCCAAAUUGCAAAGCUGACAAGAAAAGGCUGGGCACCACACUGGAAUUGCUGCAAUUGAAGGCAGAGAAUGGUGUAUCUAACAAGGGAUUUGUAAAGUUGCUGAUAAUGAUAAAGAAGAUGCUGAUAACCCACAAGUAUAGGGGAUCAUUUGUAGCCUUCUUCGAUAAAUAAGAGUGUCGAACCCAACGAGGAGCUAAAGGCAGAACAAAUAUUCCAUCAAGUUCUAUCGACCACCGAUACAACUCUAUGCACACUUGACGUUUGCUUUAUCAGAAACAAGUAUGCAACUAUUUUGUAGGUGUGAUGCUAGAAAUACUUUGCAAGAUAAUAAAAGUUAGAUGUUCAAUAAAAGGGUAUGUGCCACAAGAAAGUAAUUUGUCCCUAGGCAAUCGAUAACAAGUACCAGUAAUCAUUCUUGUAAUUUUAUAUGAGGCAGAGGUGAAGGAAAUAUUCCCUAGAGGCAAUAAUAAAGUUAUUAUUUAUUUCCUCAUACCAUGAUAAAUGUUUAUUAUUCAUGCUAGAAUUGUAUUAACCGGAAACAUGAUACAUGUGUGAAUACAUAGACAAACAGAUUGUCACUAGUAUGCCUCUACUUGACUAGCUCGUUGAUCAAAGAUGGUUAUGUUUCCUAACCAUAGACAUGAGUUGUCAUUUGAUAAACGGUAUCACAUCAUUAGGAGAAUAAUGUGAUUGACUUGACCCAUUUCGUCAGCUUAGCACUUGAUCGUUUUAGUUUACUGCUAUUGCUUUCUUCAUGACUUAUACAUGUUCCUAUGACUAUGAGAUUAUGUAACUCCCGAUUACCGGAGGAACACUUUGUGUGCUACCAAACGUCACAAUGUAACUAGGUGAUUAUAAAGGUGCUCUAUAGGUGUCUCCGAUGGUACUUGUUGAGUUGACAUAGAUCAAGAUUAGGAUUUGUCACUCCGAUUGUCGGAGAGGUAUCUCUGGGCCCACUCGGUAAUGCACAUCACUAUAAGCCUUGCGAGGAUUGUAACUAAUGAGUUAGUUGCGGCAUGAUGCAUCACAGAAUGAGUAAAGAGACUUGCCGGUAACGAGAUUGAACUAGGUAUUGAGAUACCGACGAUCGAAUCUUGGGCAAGUAACAUACCGAUGACAAAGGGAACAACGUAUGUUGUUAUGUGGUUUGACCGAUAAAGAUAUUCGUAGAAUAUGUAGGAGCCAAUAUGAGCAUCCAGGUUCCGCUAUUGGUUAUUGACCGGAGACGUGUCUCGGUCAUGUCUACAUAGUUCUCGAACCCGUAGGGUCCGCACGCUUAAAGUUUGGUAACGAUCGGUAUUAUGAGUUUUUGUGUUUUGAUGUACCGAAGGUAGCUCAGAGUCCCGGAUAUGAUCACGGACAUGACGAGGAGUCUCUAAAUGGUCGAUACGUAAAAAUCGAUAUAUUGGACAACUAUAUUCGGACACCGGAAGUGUUCCGGAUGAUUUCGGAGAAAACCGGAGUGCCGGAGGGUUACCGGACCCCCCCCCCCCGGAGAAAUAAUGGGCCUUAUGGGCCUUAGUGGAGAGAGAGAGGGCUGGCCUAGGGAAGGCCGUGCGCCCCUCCCCCUCUGGUCCGAAUUGGACUAGGAGAGGGGGGCGGUGCCCCCCUUUCCUUCUCCCUCCCCCUUCCUUUCCCCCUCCUAGUAGGAGUAGGAAAGAGGCGAGUCCUACUCCUACUAGGAGCAGGACUCCUCCUCCUGGUGCGCCAUAGAGGGCCGGCCGGCCUCCCCCCUUGCUCCUUUAUAUACGGGGGUAGGGGGGCACCUCUAGACACAAGUUGAUAAUUGAUCCCUUAGCCGUGUGCGGUGCCCCCCUCCACCAUAAUCCACCUCGAUCAUAUCGUAGCGGUGCUUAGGCGAAGCCCUGCGUCGGUAGCAACAUCAUCACUGUCAACACGCCAUCGUGCUGACGGAACUAUCCCGUGAAGUUCUGCUGGAUCGGAGUUCGUGGGACAUCAUCGAGCUAAACGUGUGCUGAACUCGGAGGUGCCAUACGUUCGAUACUUGGAUUGGUUGGAUCGUGAAGACGUUCGACUACAUCAACUGCGUUCUCAUAACGCUUCCGCUUAUGGUCUACGAGGGUACGUGGACGAUACUCUUCCCUCUCGUUGCUAUGCAUCACCAUGAUCUUGUGUGUGCGUAGGAAUUUUUUUGAAAUUACUACGUUCCCCAACAGUGGCAUCCGAGCCAGGUUUAUGCGUACAUGUUAUAUGCAUGAGUAGAACACAAGUGAGUUGUGGGCGAUACAAAUCAUACUACUUACCAGCAUUUCAUACUUUAGUUCGGCGGUAUUGUUGGAUGAAGCGGCCCGGACCGACAUUAUGCGUACGCUUAUGCGAGACUGGUUCUACCGACGUGCUUUGCACACAAGUGGCUGGUGGGUGUCAGUUUCUCCAACUUUAGUUGAACUGAGUGUGGCUAUGCACGGUCCUUGAGAAGGUUAAAACAACACUAACUUGACAAACUAUCGUUGUGGUUUUGAUGCGUAGGUAAGAACGGUUCUUGCUCAGCCCAUAGCAGCCACGUAAAACUUGCAACAACAAAGUAGAGGACGUCUAACUUGUUUUUGCAGGGCAUAUUGUGAUGUGAUAUGGUCAAGACAUGAUGCUAUAUUUUUUUGUAUGAGAUGAUCAUGUUUUAUAACCGAGUUAUCAGCAACUGGUAGGAGCCAUAUGGUUGUCGCUUUAUUGUAUGCAAUGCAAUCGCCCUGUAAUUGCUUUACUUUAUCACUAAGCAGUAGCGAUAGUCGUAGAAGCAAUAGUUGGCGAGACAACAAUGAUGCUACGAUGGAGAUCAAGGUGUCGCGUUGGUGACGAUGGUGAUCAUGACGGUGCUUCGGAGAUGGAGAUCACAAGCACAAGAUGAUGAUGGCCAUAUCAUAUCACUUAUAUUGAUUGCAUGUGAUGUUUAUCUUUUAUGCAUCUUAUUUUGCUUAGAUCGAUGGUAGCAUUAUAAGAUGAUCUCUCACUAAAUUUCAAGGUACAAGUGUUCUCCCUGAGUAUGCACCGUUGCGAAAGUUCGUCGUGCCGAGACACCACGUGAUGAUUGGGUGUGAUAAGCUCUACGUUCACAUACAACGGGUGCAAGCCAGUUUUGCACAUGCAGAAUACUCGGGUUAAACUUGACGAGCCUAGCAUAUGCAGAUAUGGCCUCAGAACACUGGAGACCGAAAGGUCGAGCAUGAAUCAUAUAGAAAAUAUGAUCAACUUAUUGAUGUUCACCAUUGAAAACUACUCCAUCUCACGUGAUGAUCGGACAUGGUUUAGUUGAUAUGGAUCACGUGAUCACUUAGAUGAUUAGAGGGAUGUCUAUCUAAGUGGCAGUUCUUUAAUAAUUUGAUUAACUGAACCUUAAUUUAUCAUGAACUUAGUACCUGAUAGUAUUUUGCAUGUCUAUGUUGUUGUAGAUAGAUGGCCCGCGCUGUUGUUCCGUUGAAUUUUAAUGCGUUCCUUGAGAAAGCAAAGUUGAAAGAUGAUGGUAGCAAUUACAGGGACUGGGUCCGUAACUUGAGGAUUAUCCUCCUUGUUGCAUAGAAGAAUUACGUCCUGGAAGCACCGCUAAGUGCCAAACCUGCUGCAGGAGCAACACCAGAUGUUAUGAACGUCUGGUAGAGCAAAGCUGAUGACUACUCGAUAGUUAAGUGUGCCAUGCUUUACGGCUUAGAACUGGGACUUCAACGACGUUUCGAACGUCAUGGAGCAUAUGAGAUGUUCCAGGAGUUGAAGUUAAUAUUUCAAUCAAAUGCCUGGAUUGAGAGAUAUGAAGUGUCCAAUAAGUUCUACAGCUGCAAGAUGGAGGAGAAUAGUUCUAUCAGUGAACAUAUACUCAGAAUGUCUGGGUACCAUAACCACUUGACUCAACCGGGAGUUAAUCUUCCUUUUGAUAGUGUCAUUGACAGAGUUCUUCAAUCACUGCCACCAAGCUACAAGAGCUUCGCGAUGAACUAUAACAUGCAAGGGAUGAAUAAAAUAAUUCCCAAGCUCUUCGCAAUGCUAAAGGCUGCGGAGGUAGAAAUCAAGAAGGAACAUCAAGUUUUGAUGGUUAACAAGACCACUAGUUUCAAGAAAAAGGGUAAUGGGAAGAAGAAAGGGAACUUCAAGAAGAACGACAAACAAGUUGUUUCUCAAGAGAAGAAACCCAAGUCUGGACCUAAGCCUGAGACUGAGUGCUUCUACUGCAAACAGACUAGUCACUGGAAGCGGAACUGCCCAAGUAUUUAGCGGAUAAGAAGGAUGGCAAGGUGAACAAAGGUAUAUGUGAUAUACAUGUUAUUGAUGUGUACCUUACUAAUUCUCGCAUUAGUGCCUGGGUAUUUGAUACUAGUUUUGUUGCUAAUAUUUGCAACUCGAAAGAUGGUCUACGGAUUAAGCGAAGAUUGGCAAAGGACGAGGUGACGAUGCGCGUGGGAAAUGGUUCCAAAGUCGACAUGAUCGCAGUCGGCACACUACCUCUACAUCUACCUUCGGGAUUAGUAUUAGACCUGAAUAAUUGUUAUUUGGUGCCAGCGUUAAGCAUGAACAUUAUAUCUGGAUCUUGUUUGAUGCGAGACGGUUAUUCAUUUAAAUCAGAGAAUAAUUGUUGUUCUAUUUAUAUGAGUAAUAUCUUUUAUGGUCAUGCACCCUUAAAGAGUGAUCUAUUCUUUUUGAAUCUCGAUAGUGGAGAUACACGUAUUCCUAGUAUUGAAGCUAAAAGAUGCAGAGUUGAUAAUGAUAGUGCAACUUAUUUGUGGCACUGCCGUUUAGGUCAUAUUGGUAUAAAGCGCAUGAAGAAACUCCAUUCUGAUGGACUUUUGGAAUCACUUGAUUAUGAAUCACUUGGUACUUGCGAACCGUGCCUCAUGGGCAAGAUGACUAAAAUGCCAUUCUCCGGAACAAUGGAGCGAGAAACAGAUUUGUUGGAAAUCAUACAUACUGAUGUAUGUGGUCCGAUGAAUAUUGAGGCUCGGGGCGGGUAUCGUCUUUUUCUCACCUUCACAGAUGAUUUGAGCAGAUAUGGGUAUAUCUACUUGGUGAAACAUAAUUGUGAAACAUUUGAAAAGCUCAAACAAUUUCAAAGUGAAGUGGAAAAUCAUCGUAACAAGAAAAUAAAGUUUCUACGAUCUGAUCGUGAAGGAUAAUAUUUGAGUUGCGAGUUUGGUCUUCAUUUGAAACAAUGCGGAAUAGUUUCACAACUCACGCCACCCGGAACACCACAAUGUAAUGGUGUGUCCGAACGUCGUAAUCGUACUUUACUAGAUAUUGUGCGAUCUAUGAUGUCUCUUACUGAUUUACCGCUAUCAUUUUGGGGUUGUGCUUUAGAGACGGUUGCAUUCACGUCAAAUAGGGCACCAUCUAAAUCCGUUUAGAUGACUCCUUUGUGAACUGUGUUUUGGCAAGAAACCAAAGUUGUCGUUUCUUAAAGUUUGGGGCUGCGAUGCUUAUGUGAAAAAGCUUCAACCUGAUAAGCUCGAACCCAAAUCGGAGAAAUGUGUCUUCAUAGGAUACCCAAAAGAGAUAGUUGGGUACACCUUCUAUCAUAGAUCCGAAGGCAAGACUUUUGUUGCUAAGAAUGGAUCCUUUCUAGAGAAGGAGUUUCUCUUGAAAGAAGUGAGUGGGAGGAAAGUAGAACUUGAUGAGGUAACUGUACCUGCUCCCUUAUUGGAAAGUAGUUCAUCACAGAAACCGGUUUCUGUGACACCUACACCAAUUAGUGAGGAAGCUAAUGAUGAUGAUCAUGAAACUUCUGAUCAAGUUACUACCGAACCUCGUAGGUCAACCAGAGCAAGAUCCGCACCAGAGUGGUACGGUAAUCCUGUUCUAGAAGUCAUGUUACUAUACCAUGACGAACCUAUGAACUAUGAGGAAGCGAUGAUGAGCCCGGAUUCAGUAAAAUGGCUUGAGGCCAUGAAAUCUGAGAUGGGAUCCAUGUAUGAGAACAAAGUGUGGACUUUGGUUGACUUGCCUGAUGAUCGGCAAGCCAUUGAGAAUAAAUGCAUCUUCAAGAAGAAGACAGACGCUGAUGGUAAUGUUACUGUCUACAAAGCUCGACUUGUUGCGAAAGGUUUUCGACAAGUUCAAGGAGUUGACUAUGAUGAGACCUUCGCACCCGUAGCUAUGCUUAAGUCCGUCCGAAUCAUGUUAGCUAUUGCCGCAUUUUAUGAUUAUGAGAUCUGGCAAAUGGAUGUAAAGACAUCAUUCCUGAAUGGAUUUCUGGAAGAAGAGUUGUAUAUGAUGCAACCUGAAGGUUUUAUCGAUCCAAGGGGUGCUAACAAAGUGUGCAAGCUCCAGCGAUCCAUUUAUGGACUGGUGCAAGCCUCUCGGAGUUGGAAUAAACGUUUUAAUAGUGUGAUCAAAGCAUAUGGUUUUAUACAGACUUUUGGAGAAGCCUGUAUUUACAAGAAAGUGAGUGGGAGCUCUGUAGCAUUUCUAAUAUUAUAUGUGGAUGACAUAUUGUUAAUUGGAAAUUAUAUAGAAUUUCUGGAUAGCAUAAAAGGAUACUUGAAUAAGAGUUUUUCAAUGAAAGACCUCGGUGAAGUUGCUUACAUAUUGGGCAUUAAGAUCUAUAGAGAUAGAUCAAGAUGCUUAAUUGGACUUUCACAAAGCACAUACCUUGACAAAGUUUUGAAGAAGUUCAAAAUGGAUCAGGCAAAGAAAGGAUUCUUGCCUGUGUUACAAGGUGUGAAGUUGAGUAAGACUCAAUGCCCGACAAUUGUAGAAGAUAGAGAGAAAAUGAAAGAUGGUCCCUAUGCUUCAGCCAUAGGCUCUAUCAUGUAUGCAAUGCUGUGUACCCGACCUGAUGUGUGCCUUGCUAUUAGUUUAGCAGGGAGGUACCAAAGUAAUCUAGGAGUGGAUCACUGGACAACGGUCAAGAACAUCCUGAAAUACCUGAAGAGGACUAAGGAUAUGUUUAUCGUUUAUGGAGGUGACAAAGAGCUCAUCGUAAAUGGUUACGUUGAGGCAAGCUUUGACACUGAUCCGGACGAUUCUAAAUCGCAAACUAGAUACAUGUUUAUAUUGAACGGUGGAGCUGUCAGUUGGAGCAGAUCUAAACAAAGCGUCAUGGCGGGAUCUACGUGUGAAGCGGAAUACAUUGGUGCUUCGGAAGCAGCAAAUGAAGGAGUCUGGAUGAAGGAGUUCAUAUCCGAUCUAGGUGUCAUACCUAGUGCAUCGGGUCCAAUGAAAAUCUUUUGUGACAAUACUGGUGCAAUUGCCUUGGCAAAGGAAUCCAGAUUUCACAACAGAACCAAGCACAUCAAGAGACGCUUCAAUUCCAUCCGCAAUCAAGUACAGGUGGGAGACAUAGAGAUUUGCAAGAUACAUACGGAUCUGAAUGUUGCAGACCCGUUGACUAAGCCUCUCUCACGAGCAAAACAUGAUCAGCACCAAGACUCCAUGGGUAUUAGAAUCAUUACUGUGUAAUCUAGAUUAUUGACUCUAGUGCAAGUGGGAGACUAAAGGAAAUAUGCCCUAGAGGCAAUAAUAAAUUUAUUAUUUAUUUCCUCAUAUCAUGAUAAAUAUUUAUUAUUCAUGCUAGAAUUGUAUUAACCGGAAACAUGAUACAUGUGUGAAUACAUAGAUAAACAGAUUGUCACUAGUAUGCCUCUACUUGACUAGCUCGUUGAUCAAAGAUGAUUAUGUUUCCUAACCAUAGACAUGAGUUGUCAUUUGAUAAACGAGAUCACAUCAUUAGGAGAAUGAUGUGAUUGACUUGACCCAUUUCGUCAGCUUAGCACUUGAUCGUUUUAGUUUACUGCUAUUGCUUCCUUCAUGACUUAUACAUGUUCCUAUGAAUUGAGAUUAUGUAACUCCCGAUUACCGGAGGAACACUUUGUGUGCUACCAAACGUCACAACGUAACUGGGUGAUUAUAAAGGUGCUCUACAGGUGUCUCCGAUGGUACUUGUUGAGUUGACAUAGAUCAAGAUUAGGAUUUGUCACUCUGAUUGUUGGAGAGGUAUCUCUGGGCCCACUCGGUAAUGCACAUCACUAUAAGCCUUGCAAGCAUUGUAACUAAUGAGUUAGUUUCGGGAUGAUGCAUUACAGAACGAGUAAAGAGACUUGCCGGUAACGAUAUUGAACUAGGUAUUGAGAUACCGACGAUCGAAUCUCGGGCAAGUAACAUACCGAUGACAAAGGGAACAACUUAUGUUGUUAUGCGGUUGGACCGACAAAGAUCUUCGUAGAAUAUGUAGGAGCCAAUAUGAGCAUCCAGGUUCCGCUAUUGGUUAUUGACCGGAGACGUGUCUCGGUCAUGUCUACUAGUUCUCGAACCCGUAGGGUCCGCACGCUUAAAGUUCGGUGAUGAUCUGUAUUAUGAGUUUUUGUGUUUUGAUGUGCCGAAGGUAGUUCCGAGUCCCGGAUAUGAUCACGGACAUGACGAGAGUCUUGAAAUGGUUAGGACGUAAAGAUCGAUAUAUUGGACGACUAUAUUCAGACACCGGAAGUGUUCCGGGUGAUUUUGGAGAAAACCGGAGUGCCGGAAGGUUACCGUGAUACGUAUCCGUCGUAUCUACUUUUCCAAACACUUUUGCCCUUGUUUUGGACUCUAACUUGCAUGAUUUGAAUAGAACUAACCUGGACAGACGCAGUUUUCAGUAGAAUUGCGAUGGUGUUAUUUUUGUGUAGAAAUAAAAGUUCUCGGAAUGACCUGAAAAUCAACGGAGAAUUAUUUUGUAAUAUAUAAAAAUACUAGAAGGAAGAUCCACGUCAGGGGGCCUCCACCUGUCCACGAGGGUGGGGUGGCGCGCCCCCUGCCUUGUGGGCCCCCUGACGCUCCACCGACCUCAACCUUGACUCCAUAUAUUCACUUUUGGGGAGAAAAAAAUCAGGGAGAAGGAUUCAUCUCGUUUUACGAUACGGAGCCGCCGCCAAGCCCUAAACUCUCUCAGGAGGGCUGAUCUGGAGUCCGUUCGGGGCUCCGGAGAGGGGAAUCCGUCGCCAUCAUCAUCAUCAACCAUCCUCCAUCACCAAUUUCAUGAUGCUCACUGCCGUGCGUGAGUAAUUCCAUAGUAGGCUUGCUGGACGGUGAUGGGUUGGAUGAGAUUUAUCUUGUAAUCGAGUUAGUUUUGUUAGGGUUUGAUCCCUAGUAUCCACUAUGUUCUGAGAUCGAUGUUGCUAUGACUUUGCUAUGCUUAAUGCUUGUCACUAGGGCCCGAGUGCCAUGAUUUCAGAUAUGAACCUAUUAUGUUUUCAUCAAUAUAUGAGAGUUCUUGAUCCUAUCUUGCAAGUCUAUAGUCACCUAUUAUGUGUUAUGAUCUGUUAACCCCGAAGUGACAAUAAUCGGGAUACUUACCGGUGAUGAUCGUAGUUUGAGGAGUUCAUGUAUUCACUAUGUGUUAAUGCUUUGUUCCGGUACUCUAUUAAAAGGAGGCCUUAAUAUCCCUUAGUUUCCGCUAGGACCCCGCUGCCAUGGGAGGGUAGGACAAAAGAUGUCAUGCAAGUUCUUUUCCAUAAGCUUGUAUGAAUAUAUUCAGAAUACAUGCCUACAUUACAUUGAUGAAUUGGAGCUAGUUCUGUGUCACCCUAGGUUAUGACUGUUACAUGAUGAACCGCAUCCGACAUAAUUCUCCAUCAUCGAUCCAUUGCCUACGAGCUUUCCAUAUAUUGUUCUUCGCUUAUUUACUUUUCCGUUGCUAUUGUUAUCAUCACUACAAAACACAAAAAUAUUACUUUUGCUAUCGUUACCUUUUACCACCAUUACCACUACUAUCAUAUUACUUUGCUACUAAACACUUUGCUGCAGAUACUAAGUUUCCAGGUGUGUUUGAGUUGACAACUCAGCUGCUAAUACUUGAGAAUAUUCUUUGGCUCCCCUUGUGUCGAAUCAAUAAAUUUGGGUUGAAUACUCUACCCUCGAAAACUGUUGCGUCCCCUAUACUUGUGGGUUAUCAAGACUAUUUUCUGGCGCCAUUGUCGGGGAGCAUAGCUCUAUUCUUUGAGUCACUUGGGAUUUAUAUCAGCUUAUCAUUAUGAAGAACUUGAAAGACGCGAAAACAAAAAUUUAUCCCUCAACUACGAGGGGAGGUAAGGAACUGACAUCUAGUUUCUGCACUUGAUUCACCUUCUGUUUUGAGUAAACUUGCGACACCUAAACCUGCUUCUGCUAUUAAUUCUGAUAUGUCGCAUGUUAUUGAUGACGCCACUUCUACUAUGCAUGAUACUUAUGAUGAAACUACUUCUAUGCUUGAUACUACUGUGCCAGUUGGUGAAUUUCUUGAUGAACAGCUUGCUAGGGCUAGAGAGAAUGAAAUUAUUGAAACUAAUAAUAUUGAUGAAAGUGAUGAUGAAGACUCUCCCCCUAGAUAUGAAUUACCUGUUGUUCAUGAGGGUUAUGUUAUGGAUGAAGAAAUUGCUAGAGAUUUUCUUGCUUGCAAUGAUAGGAGUGUAGCGACCAGACCUCAAACAGUCUGAUCUAUGUGCUCCGGUGUCAUCCCUGGAUCAGUAAUGCUGACACCACACAGUACUCGAAGGAUUUAUAACAGAGUAGCAAUCACACACUUAUUACAUCGAGUGUCUCAAAAGAGAACUUAUUACAAUAAAUAUGGCUUAAGGCCAUCUAAUAACGAUAACAGCGGAAGGCUUGGAAGAUAAGUGAGUCCAUCAACUCCAACGGCAUCACUGAGUAUAGAACCACGACCUAAAAACUCCUUAAUCAUCGUCUGAAAAAUCUGCAACAUUAACGUUGCAGCCCGAAACGGGUCAGCACAUGGAAUAUGCUGGCAAGGUAACACACAGAGAGUAACGGAAUGAAACAGCUAUACUAUAUGCAUAUCUGGCUGGUGGAAAUCUCUAUGGUUAUGGUUUUGCAUAAAGCCAAUUUUUCCCUACUUCAAAGGAAUGAAUUUAUUUAACUAUCAUGGUAGUUGUUAAACAUUGAGAAUGGUUGACAGCAUUCUCAAUCCCAAUUAAGCAUCAUCAUUAAACAAAACCCCACAAAAUUAAUUUAGAGUAACAUGUUGAGAUUCACAUGAUAAUCCAAGUACUAGAUACUCAAGAUUGUCCAUAACCGGGGACACGGCUAACCAUGAUUAGUUUAUUACGCUCUGCAGAGGUUUGCGCACUUUUCCCCACAAGACUCGAUCACCUCCGUUUGGUUUCUCGCACUACAUGGUGUUUGAGAAGACGGAUGACCGAGACAUAGUCUUUCAGAAGCGCUAGCACCUUACGAUCGGGUAGAUCGUACCACCUACAUCCCCUACAUCUGCUAGUCUACCACUGUAAGAGUUCGCACGACUUAGUCAACUAUGCUAGAGCCCAUAAUAGCUUGUGGCUGCACACAGAAGUUUCUAGUAUGAAUAGUCUCAUGAUCCCUUUGAGCCUGGGUGGCGGUCCAAAAGAAAACAGGCAAGUCCUGGAAUACCCAGGUGUCUCAAUCCACCCAGAUGUGUGUUUAAGUUGCCACCUUAGAUAAACCAUUAAUUAACAAACUCACAUCUGUCAUGGAUAUCACUCACCCAAUCCAUGUCUACUAGCAUAGCAUGGCAUAAUAAGCACACGCAGAAGUAACUCCCAAAGGUUUGAUAAUAAACAGGUAAUAGGUACUACCUCAACUACUUCCCAUCCCACAAUUUAAUUAGAUCCUAAUCAUGCAAUGUUUGCGGAUUGAUCUAAUGCAAUAAAACUGGGUAGUAGGAAAAGUAUGAUCAAAGUGUUACCUGCCUUGCUGAUGAUCCGGGAAACCUAGCGAUUCGAAGUAACAAGCGGCGCACUCCGGGUAUUCUAUCACAGACAAACAAACAAGCAUACAAUAAGUACUCAUCUAAUGCACAGGUAAAAGUCAAAUAAGAGAUCUAACCAGAAGGUUUAACUUAAGAACUCCGGUUGGCAAAAAGAAUCAAAUCAAACAAAGCAACGCAAGUCCAACGGUGAAAGAAAACAACUUCGUUCUACUAAUCUGGAUCUAAGGCAAAUUUAAAGUAGCAAAAACUUGUUUAAGUUGGUUAAACGGAUAGAGGGUUUCGAGACGAAACUCCAGGCGUUUGAAUCGCCUGAUUCCGAUAAACGAGCGAAAAGUUAUACUAAAACGAAAAUCGGAUCAGGAAUCGCGAUCAGAAAAAUUGCGGAUUUAAUCCGAGAAAAAAAAAACGACGAACGUUCGUUAGAACGAACGAACAGACGAACGCUCGCUAUUUAAAUAAAUCAGAAAAACCGAUCUAUUUUAAAAAAUGAAACUAAAAAAACCGACGGAAAAACCGGACGGUUUUUCAAAAAAACAAAAAAAAAACGGCGUGGAAAUCGAGGCGCGGCGAACCUCGGGCGGUGGCGGGGCGGCGCUGGGGCCGGCUCGGCUAGGGUUUGGCUGGGGCUGGGCCUCCCCCCGGCUUAUAUAGCCUAGUCGGGCCGGAGUCCUAGUCGGACACGGCCCGUUAGGUCGGUUCAUUUUUUUAAUAAUUACGCGUGGAAGAAAAAUUAAAAGAAAUACUAAAUGGACUCCGAAAAUCCUGAAAUAAAUUUUCCCGGGAUUCUAAAAUCAAGCGGCACAAGGUGAACAUUUAUUUGGGGCCUAAAUGCAAUUUUGGAAAACACACAUUUUUCCUAAAUUCAAAUAAAAUAACGAAAAACUCCGAAAUAAAAAUCUUAUUUGAUUUUAUUGUUAAAUCCUCAAUAUUUCUUUAUUUUGGGAAAGUCAUUUUAUUCCCUCUCUCAUAUUUUUGUAAUAGAAAUAAUUGAUGAUAAAAUAAAUAAAAUCAAAUGAUCCUAUUCUCAAAAUUUGAGAAAACUCAAAUAUGAAAAUAACGAAAUCCCCAACUCUCUCCGUGGGUCCUUGAGUUGCGUAGAAUUUCUAGGAUCAAAACCAAAAGCAAAAUAAAAUAUGAUAUGCAUUUAUGAUCUAAUGUAUAACAUUCCAAAUUGAAAAUUUGGGAUGUUACAAACCUACCCCCCUUAAGAUGAAUCUCGCCCUCGAGAUUCGGGUUGGCUAGAAAAUAGGUGAGGGUGGUCCUUGAGGAAAUCUUCCUCUCGUUCCCAGGUGGCUUCGUCCUCCGUGUGGUGGAUCCACUGAACUUUGCAAAACUUGAUAACCUUGCUGCGAGUGACUCGGGUGGCAAACUCGAGAAUUUUAAUUGGUUUCUCCUCAUAGGUCAAAUCGUUAUCCAGCUGAAUAGUUUCCAAUGGCACUGUAUCCCUCAAAGGUAUGUCAGCCAUCUCCGCGUGGCAUUUCUUCAACUGGGAAACGUGGAACACAUCAUGAACUCCUGACAAUCCUUCGGGUAAUUCCAACUUGUAGGCCACUUCUCCCAUACGCUCCAAAACUCAAUAUGGUCCUACAAAUCGUGGCGCUAACUUUCCUUUAACCCCAAAACGCUUUGUUCCCCGAAGUGGUGAUACUCGAAGAUAAGCUCUAUCUCCAACUUCAUAAACUGUCUCCUUGCAUUUUGAAUCUGCAUAACUCUUCUGUCUGGACUGGGCUACCUUGAGCCUAUCGCGAACCAAUUUCACCUUCUGUUCAAACUCUUUAAUCAAGUCAGGUCCAAACAACUGCGGUCUCCAACUUCGUCCCACGACAACAGUGUCCUGCACCUCCUUCCGUACAAGGCUUCGAAAGGGGCCAUCUUCAAACUGGUUUGGUAACUAUUGUUGUAAGAGAACUCUGCAUAUGGCAAAUUAUCGUCCCAACUAGAUCCAUAAUCUAGCGGACAAGCUCUCAACAUAUCCUCCAAAAUCUGAUUGACUCUCUCGGUUUGUCCAUCUGUCUGUGGAUGAAAAGUUGUACUGAAUUCUAGCCUGGUUCCCAAAGUUUCAUGCAACUGCUUCCAGAACUUUGAGGUAAACCUGGUUCCUCUAUCCGAUACGAUACUCCUCGGAACUCCAUGCAGACAUACGAUCCUGGUCAUGUAUAUCUUUGCCAACUUUGCACUGGUGUAGGUAGUCUUUACUGGGAUGAAAUGAGCUACUUUCAUCAAUCGAUCAACUACAACCCAAUCGAGUCAUAGCCUAAACGAGUCCUGGGUAAUCCCGUGAUAAAAUCCAUGCCUAAUUUAUCCCACUUCCAUUCGGGUAUCGGCAAUGGUUGUAACAAUCCCGCUGGCUUCUGAUGCUCUCCCUUUACUCUCUGACAUACAUCACAAACUGCUACAUACUCCGCAAUAUCCUUCUUCAUUCCGGUCCACCAGAAAAUAUCUUUCAAAUCCAUAUACAUCUUGGUAUUUCCUAGAUGAAUCGAAUAUGGUGAAUCGUGUGCCUCUUGCAGAAUCAACUUCCGAAUCUCCGGGUCAUUGGGCACAUAAACACGGUCUUCAAACCAUAGGGUGUCGUGCUCAUCCUCACGAAAUCCUUUAGCCUUUCCUUUGCUAAGUUUCUCCUUAAUAGAGGCAAUCUCCUUGUUAGUCUUCUGAGCUUCUCUGAAUCUAUCCAUCAAAGUUGACUGAAUCUCCAAUGCUGCUACAUAGCCUCUCGGAACUAUUUCCAAACAUAGUUCACGAAGAUUUUCUGCUAACUCCCUUGGUAAUUCUCCCGUCAUUAGGGUGUUGACAUGACUCUUACAGCUUAAUGCGUCAGCUACUACAUUAGCCUUUCCGGGAUGAUAAUGCAAUUUUAUAUCAUAAUCCUUGAUGAGCUCCAACCAUCUCCUUUGUCUGAGGUUUAACUCCUUCUGGGUGAAGAUGUAUUUCAAACUCUUAUGAUCCGUGUACACCUCACAAUGAUUUCCCAUCAGAAAAUGUCUCCAUGUUUUCAAUGCAUGCACUACGGCUGCUAACUCCAAAUCAUGCAUAGCAUAAUUCAACUCAUGAGGCUUAAGUUGUCUUGAGGCAUAUGAAACAACUCUCCCUUCCUGCAUAAGCACUGCUCCAAGUCCUCGACCUGAAGCGUCGCAAUACAUCUCAUAAUCCUUGGUGUGGUCUGGCAAAAUCAACACUGGUGAGGUAACCAAACAUUUCUUCAACUCUUGGAAACCAGCCUCACAUUCCUCCGUCCAUAUGAACUUGGUAUCUUUCUUCAACAACUCAGUCAUAGGCUUCGCAAUCUUUGAGAAAUUCUCAAUAAAUCUCCGGUAGUAUCCUGCGAGUCCAAGAAAACUCCGUAUCUCUCCAACCGUGGUUGGUGCUUCCCACUUGGUCACGGUAUCAACUUUAGUGGGAUCCACUGCUAUACCUUCUCCAGAUAUAACGUGUCCGAGGAAUCCGACUUCCUUCAACCAAAACUCACAUUUGCUGAACUUGGCAUAUAAUUGAUGUUCUCUGAGCUUUCCAAGUACCAAACGCAAAUGCUCCUUAUGCUCCUCUUCAUUCUUCGAGUAGACCAGGAUAUCAUCAAUGAACACUACGAUGAACUUAUCCAAAAACUCCAUAAAUACUUUGUUCAUCAUGUUCAUAAAAUAGGCAGGUGCGUUAGUUAGACCAAAUGACAUAACGGUAUACUCGUACAGCCCAUACCUGGUGGUAAAAGCUGUCUUAGGUAUAUCCUAUUCUCGAAUCUUCAACUGGUGGUAUCCUGAUCGCAGAUCGAUCUUGGAAAAUACCUUAGCUCCUUGCAAUCGAUCAAACAGAUCACUGAUCAUUGGUAGUGGGUACUUGUUCUUGACCGUUACUUCAUUUAAUCCUCGAUAAUCAACAACCAUCCUUAACGAUCCAUCCUUCUUCUCCACUAGAAGUACUGGCGAUCCCCAAGGUGAAGAACUUGGGCGAAUAUAUCCCUUGUCCAGUAACUCCUUAAUCUGCUUCUUAAUUUCCACCAAAUCCUUUGCAGGCAUCCUGUAUGGUCUCUUUGAUAUUAGCCCUGUGCAUGGCAAUAGCUCUAUCAAAAACUCAAUAUCUCUAUCCGGUGGCAUGCCUGGCAACUCUUCUAGAAAUACAUCAGGGAAAUACUUUACUACUGGUACUUCCUCCUGCACAACUCCUGUUAAGAAAUUUACUUGAGUCCUCUUUGGCACAUGCCGGGAUACAUACUUGAUCCUUCUCCCUUCUGGGGUGGUAAGCAAAAUUGACUUACUAGCACAUUCAAUAUUCCCUUCAUACUUUGACAACCAAUCCAUGCCUAAUAUCACAUCCAAUCCUUGGGAUUCCAAUACUAUUAGGUCUGAGGGAAAAACAUAGUUACCAAUCCUUAAUGGUAACCGAUCACACUAUCGACUAGCCAUAUAUUCUGCUCCAGGCGAGGUUACUAACAUGGGUGACCUAAGGGCUUGGGUUGACAGGUUAUACUUAUCCACAAAUCCCCUUGAGAUGUAUGAAUGCGAUGCACCAGUAUCAAAAAGAACGAGUGCAGUAAAUGACUUAACCAAAAACUUACCUAUUACUGCAUCAGGCUGAGCUUCAACCUCCUCCACGCUAACGUGGUUCACCUGUCCCCUGUUGAAAGGGUUCGGCUUCUUCCCAGAGCUUCCAUUGCUAUUUCCAUUUUGCAAUUCAGGGCAUUCAUUUGCAUAUUGUCAUGUCUUCGAACACUUAAAGCAAGUGACUUGGCUCAGGUCCUUCUUGGCUGGGGUUGAUGGGUUGGUGCGAUUCUGGCCAUUGCUUCCUCCAUUCCCAUUACCAUUCCUGGUGCCAUUGUGAUUGUGCGAGCUACCUCCUCCAUGGGUAUGCUGAAAAUGUCCUCCCGGUCUAGGGGUAAAACGUGGCUUCUGCUGAGCUCCUGAAUUGUACUUUCCUUGUCCAUACUUCCUCUUGCGAUUCUCAAUUUGCUGCUGCUUGCCUUCAAUCAUAAGAGCACGGUCUACCAAUUCCUGGUAGUUGUUGAAGGUUUCUACCAUCAAUUGCAUGCUCAACUCAUCAUUCAAUCCUUCUAGAAACUUCUCCUGCUUAGCUGCAUCCGUAGCAACGUCAUCUGGGGCAUAACGUGCUAACUUACUAAAGUCCUCCACAUACUGGCCAACUGUCCGUCCUCCUUGGCGCAAGUUGUGAAACUCACGCUUCUUCAUGGCCAUGGCUCCUGCUGAAACAUGGGCAGUACGAAAAGCCUGUUGAAACUGGUCCCAUGUGACAGUGUCGAAAGGGAAAGUGGCUGUGAAAUUCUCCCACCAUGAUGCUGCGGGUCCUUCAAGCUGAUGUGCGGCAAACUUCACCUUCUCCGCAUCCGUGCAUCCUGCUGUGGUCAACUCUCUAGCUGUCUUGCGGAGCCAAUCAUCUGCUACUAUCGGCUCGGUGCUACUGGAAAACACCGGUGGAUUCAACCUAAGUGAAAGUGCAACUAUCCCUAGGUGGUUUUGGUAAUUCAUAACAACAUAUAGCUCAUUGAGCUAAUGCUAUUCCAAGAUGACUAUUUCAGGAAAGCUCAAUGAUUGGCAUGGCAUGGAUGUGAAAGUGGAACCCUCAAAAUGCUAAGGACAAAGGAUUGGCUCAAGCUCAAAAGCUCAAGACUCUUCAUUUUAUAUUUUAGUGAUCCAAGAUCACAUUGAGUCUUUAGGAAAAGCCAAUACUAUCAAGGAGGGAUGAGGUGUUGCUUAAUGAGCCUCUUGCUUCAUGUGCUUAGUGAUAUGCUCCAAAAUCCUCAGCUACUUUCCCAUAUCCACAUAUGACCUAAACCCUAAGCCAAACUCGGUCAUACCGAUUCUUUCUAUCCGGCGCCAUCGAGUUUCAUUUGUCAUAAGCCACUGCCAAACCCUAGCAAAUAGGUUCUACAGAUAGGGAUCUCGGUCUCACCGAGAUGGGAUUGCAAACUCUCUGUUUCCCUUUCGUAACUUUUCGGUCUCACUGAAAGAGCGAAUCGGUCCCACCGAGAUUGCAAUGUAAAUUCAGUGUUUCCUUUUUGUAACUUUUCGGUCUCACCGAAAGAGCAAAUCGGUCCCACUGACCAACUCUCUGGUUAGCUAAUUACCAAAAUCGGUCUCACCGAGUUUGCGUAAUUGGUCUCACCGAGAUUACAUUAUGCCCAAACCCUAACCAUAUCGGUCCUACCGAGUUGCAUGUCAGUCCCACCGAAAAUCUCUAACGGUCACUAGGUUUACCUUUUCGGUCCGACCGAGUUUGUUGAUUCGGUCCCACCGAGAUUGGAAAACUGUGUGUAACGGUUGGAUUUUGUGUGGAGGCUAUAUAUACCCCUUCACCUCCUCUUCAUUCGUGGAGAGAGCCAUCAGAACACAUACACAAUUCUAACUCAUAUGUUCUGAGAGAGAACCACCUACUCAUGUGUUGAGAUCAAGACAUUCCAUUCCUACCAUAUGAAUCUUGAUCUCUAGCCUUCCCAAGUUGCUUUCCACUCAAAUCUUCUUUCCACAAAAUCCAAAUCCUAUGAGAGAGAGUUGAGUGUUGGGGAGACUAUCAUUUGAAGCACAAGAGCAAGGAGUUCAUUACCUACACACCAUUUGUUACUUCUUGGAGAGUGGUGUCUCCUAGAUUGGCUAGGUGUCACUUGGGAGCCUCCGACAAGAUUGUGGAGUUGAACCAAGGAGUUUGUAAGGGCAAGGAGAUCGCCUACUUUGUGAAGAUCUACCGCUAGUGAGGCAAGUCCUUCGUGGGCGAUGGCCAUGGUGGGAUAGACAAGGUUGCUUCUUCGUGGACCCUUUGUGGGUGGUUGCUUCUUUGUGGACCCUUCGUGGACUCGCGCAACCGUUACCCUUCGUGGGUGGAGCCCUCCGUGGACUCGCGCAACCGUUACCCUUCGUGGGUUGAAGUCUCCAUCAACGUGGAUGUAGGAUAGCACCACCUAUCUGAACCACGGGAAAAACAUCUGUGUCUCCAAUUGCGUUUGAAUUCUCCAAACCUUUCCCUUUACAUUCUUGCAAGUUGCAUGCUUUACUUUCCGCUGCCAAUAUACUCUUUGCAUGCUUGCUUGAAUUGUGUGAUGAUUGCUUGACUUGUCCUAUAAUAGCUAAAAUCUGCCAAGAACUAAAAUUGGGAAAAGGUUAAGUUUUUAUUUUGUCAAGUAGUCUAAUCACCCCCCUCUAGACAUACUUUCGAUCCUACAAGUGGUAUCAGAGCUUUGGUCUCCAUUUGCUUUGAUCUCCAUAGCUUUUGGUGGUCAUAGCCUUGGUUUCACAACCUAGGAGAGUAUGGCGUCUAGCAAGGGAAAUUAUCACCGUAGAGGUCCUUACUUUGAUGGUACUAAUUUUGCUAGUUGGAAGCAUAAAAUGAAAAUGCAUAUUCUUGGACAUAACCCCGCCGUUUGGGCUAUUGUGUGUGUUGGUUUGCAAGGUGACUUCUUUGAUGGGAAAGAACCAAACCGUGAAGCUACCGCGGAUGAGUUGAAGAUGUUGCAAUACAAUGCUCAAGCUUGUGAUAUUCUCUUCAACGGAUUGUGCCUCGAAGAAUUCAACAAAAUCAGCCGUCUUGAGAAUGCAAAGGAAAUUUGGGACACUUUGAUUGAUAUGCGCGAAGGUACCGACUCCGUCAAGGAAUCCAAGUUGGAUGUGCUUCAAAGUCAACUUGACAAUUUCAAAAUGAAGGAUGGUGAAGGUGUCGCUGAAAUGUACUCUAGGCUUGCUCUCAUCACAAAUGAGAUUGCCGGCUUAGGAAGUGAAGAGAUGACCGGUAGAUUCAUCAUCAAGAAGAUUCUAAGAGCCUUGGAUGGAAAAUAUGAUACCGUGUGCACAUUGAUCCAAAUGAUGCCCAAUUACAAAGAUCUCAAGCCAACGGAGGUGAUUGGAAGAAUUGUUGCUCAUGAGAUGUCACUUAAGGAUAAAGAGGAACUUCACAACAAAUCAAGUGGUGCCUACAAAGCCUCAUGUGAAGCCCCUACAUCAUCAAGUGAGAAACAAAACUUCAAUGAAGAAUUGAGAUUAAUGGUGAAGAACUUCAACAAGUUCUACAAGAGUAGAAGCAAAGAUAGAAGCUUCAAGUCAAGGUCCUACAAUGACAAAAGAUCUUCUAGUCGAGAGCGAAACUGCUAUAGUUGUGGAAGACCCAGACACUAUUCCAAUGAGUGUACGGCUCCCUACAAGAGAAGAGAAGAUUCUCCAAAAAGAAGAAGCAAAGAAUCACCACCAAGAGAGAGAAGGAGUAGAGAUGAUCGUUAUGAACGAAGAUACUCACGGAGAAGCAAGGAUUCGGAAAGGAAGGAAAAAUCAUCAAGGAGCUACAUAAAAUGAAGACAUCAAGCUCAUGUUGGUGAAUGGGUAUCCGGCUCCGACUCCGACAGCCACUCCGAGAGAAGUUAUCACUCCGACUCCGAAGAUACUCAAGAUGAAGGUGUUGCCGGUCUAGCACUUGUGUCAACCAACUCCUACGACAUAUUUGACUCACCAAAUGAAGGAAUUGGAAGAUGCUUCAUGACCAAAGGUCCUAAGGUAACACACCCCGAGGAUGUUGAUUUCAAUAGUGAUGAAGAUGACUUGUUAGGUGAUGAUUUGCUUGUUGACAACUCUAGUGAUGAAUACUAUGAUGAAACAUCAAUUAAUCAUGCUAAUCAAGAAAAACGAAUGACAAUGAUAAGGAGAAGAUUGAGGCUCUAACUAAAGAACUAAACACUCUUAAGUUAGCUCAUGAAACUAUCUUCGAAGAUCAUCGAGAACUUUUAAGAGCUCAUGAGAAAUUACGCUUUGAAAAGCUCAAUCUUGAGCAAGAGCAUGAGUUCUUAAAAGCAAUCAAUGAUGAUCUUUGCAAGAAAAGUUCUCCUUACAUUGCCAAGCGUUUACUCUUAUCCACUUACAUGCCUCAAGUCAAGUCUAGUAAUAAGAACAAGAAAGAUUCUUCCUCUAGCAGUAACAAUGAUCAUGCUAAAUCCAAUAUUGUUGCUUCUAGUAGUUCUCUUGAUUCCACUAAUGAUUCUCUUAGCCAAGUUACACUUGAGCAAGAAAAUAGCUUAUUGAAGGGAAUUAUAGAGAAAGGAGUGUACAAAAGCCUUGCCGGGAGUAAGCAAUUCGAGGAAAUUGUGCGCAAGCAAGGAAUGCACCGGAAGAAUCAAGGUGUUGGUUUUGAACGAAAGUUCAAUGCCAAUGGAGUUGAGUGGGAAGAAGAUCAAUACCCCAAGACAAAGUUUGUUCCUCAAUAAGAGAAGUAUGAUACUUCUUUCAAGGGGACACAAGCUCAAGAUGAUCUUCCACCACAAGACUACAAGCAAAAAGGCAAGGACAAGCUUCAAGAGGAAAUUGAUGCAUUUGAAGAAGCUCCUAAGACCUUAGUCAAGUGGAUUCCCAAGACUACUUCAAGUUCCACUUCAUCAAGUACGACUACAACUCCAAGGAUUCCCAUCAAGAUGGUGUGGAUCCAAAAGAAGAAGAACUAGAGAGUUCUUGAGGGUGACUCCGCCAACAUACUUCACUCUUAUCAUUUUGGCAAGAACAAGUGCAAUCAACUUCCACAUCUUGCACUAGUUCAAGGAGUCACAAACCCUCUUGUUGGUAAGACAAGGGACAAGGUAACCUAAAAGUUUUCAUGGACAUCAUCUUGUGUGUGCAUCACUCUAUGUCUAUGGAUAUCCUUGUUUGUUCCUUGAGGGACUAACCCAUGUAGGUAUUGAAAGUGCAAUUCACUCAAAGGGAUAGCUCGAAGUGAUCUACAUCAACAUUGAGCAUCCACAUCUUCAACAUCUACAUGAAGUCAUCAUCAACAAAACCCGAGGUUAGUUCAUCCCUCUAAGGGGGGAUAUCACAUCUAGGGGGAGCUUUACUCUAAGACUUGAGCUAAAGCAACUCUAAAGAUGUGAACACAACAAUGCUUUAUGUAAAAGUGGUAACCCCACUUGAGCUUAAACAAUGAGUAUGACCUAUGAUGAAGUGUUCUCACUUGACUCCUAAGUCAAUAUACUCAUAUAUAGAUGACCUUGUCAUCGCAAAUUGCUUGGUAGAUGCUAGAAUUGGUUGUGCAUGCCUUGUCACAUAUUUCAUUUGCCAUCUUAUUGUGUGAGCAUGCUGGUUGCAUAUUUUACUCAUUCGAGGACAUCCACUUGUUGUUUUGAUUGUUCGGUUUUAUUUCCUUUUGCCAAGUGGAUGGACAAGAAUGCCUAAGAACCUCCUCUAGCUAUCUAUGCUUUUCUCGUCUCAAACUCUAUUCAUGCUACAUCACAAAAUUUGAUCAAGUCAGAUUCGAACCACACUGUGUGAGGAGCGCUCAGAGUCCCCGAUUCGUCAUAGACUUAAACUUCCAAAACAUCUUGAUGAUUCUCGGUCUGACCGAUACCCUACUUUCGGUCCUACCGAGAUCAUUAAGUUGAUCUAUGUUUUCGAUCUCGGUGCAACCGAUUUGAACCUUUCGGUCACACCGAGUUGCAAUAACUGUAUAUAGUUUUGCAUCUCGGUGCCACCGAGUCGUUCCACUCGGUCACACCAACAGGGUCGGGCUAUAUAUAGUCACGGGCAAAAAUUUGGAAAUUUCUCCGAAGCCCUUCGCCCGCGCGAUAGCCUGCUCUGCCAACUUGGUCUCCGGAUCGUCUCCUCGCCGCCAGCCGCCUCCAGUCGCUGGUCUCCAUCGCCAUCAACGGAAUUCAACCCCGCCGUUGCCGCCGUAGCGAGUCUCCGCCGAACUAGGGUAUGGACUCGAUCUUUGUGCCAUUCCCCAAUCCGAUUCUUAGCACAUUGUGAUCAUCAUGAUUCUUGCCACGAUUGAAACACUCCUAUCCAGUCAUUGCGUUCGUAGAUUAGUUUUGAUUCGAAAAUUUUAGGGUUAGGUUUCCGCCGAAACCAUCUCGGACCCACCGAGUUGAAAAACUCGGUCCCACCGAUUUGGCUUAUGCCAUUGCACAAGUGAGACUCGGUCUGACCGAGAAUUACUUAUCGGUGUGACCGAUUUUGGAACUCUGUGAAACCCUAGCAGUCUCGGUGCCACCGAACUAUGACUCGGUCUGACCAAGUUCACUAGUUUGGGUUCCAAAACUGCUUCGGUAUCACCGAGUUUGAAAAUCAGUAGAUCCGAGAUGAUUUCAGUGGGAAACUAAAACUAAGUUUUUGGAUCAUUCUUUUGCAAAAAUCUCUGCAUUUUGUGAUGCUCAUCUAUUCUACCUCAUCUAUAAACUAUUCACAGGGUCAGCAGUCAGCUUGUUCAUCAUGUCAGACCAAAGUGAUAGCCAGAACAUGUCAGAAGAGCAAGUGCAGAUGAGUGAGGGCACUAGUCCCUCAAGUUCUUCAGAUGAAGGCAGCAGGAGCACCCCUAGCAAUCUGCCAAAAGCUGCCACCAGACAGAGGAAGAAGAGAACCUCAGAAUCAGAUGAUGAGGAUUAUGUGGCAGAAGAGGAAGCAACUUCAAAGAGAGUAGUGCUUGAGAAGGAACACGGCUCAGCUCAAGGCACAAAGCCAGGGAUGAAAGUCAAAAGGCCAGCAGGCAGGCAGCCUAUGUCAAAGGCCAGAGCUUCAACUGAGAAAUCCACUCCCAUAGAGCCAGUUGCUGCUGAGGGAAAGAAGAGGAAGGAAAGAGUCAAGAAGACCGUAGCCAGAGUGCUUGGAAAGGCUUCCAUCAUGGAAGCUGAGGAUGAAGAAGAAGAGGUUGCUGCACCAGCACCUAAGGCACCCAAACUGAUGGGUGAUGCCAUAAGAUCAGGGUCAACUGCUUCUAAGGCUAAGCCAACUCCAAAGCCAAAGCCAAAGAGGAAUACAAGAAGCAUACCUGCAACUGAGAAGAACAAGGACCCAGUGCCUGAAGCUGCUGAAGAAGAUGAUGAAGAGCAUGUUCUGAGAAAGCUCAAGCCCAAGAUCCCAGACCACAAUGAUGCUCAUCCUGUGGCUGAGGACAUGAAGCUCAGAAGAGACUCAGGGCUGAGGAAGUGGAGAGAAGCAGAUCCAUAUGCUUCAAGGAGGAGGACUGCUGUUGACUACAGAUUUCACACCAAGGAACAGCAGGACUUCUAUCAGACAAUUUUGUUGGACAAGAAGCCCAUAGUUUGUGACAUGAGAUGGGUUAAUUGGGAGUACAUCAAGGACAAUGAAGAACACUGCCCUGGAGUGUAUGACAGCUUCAAUGCUUGUGGAGUAGCAGACUUUGUUGGGCAGAAGCUCACAAAGUGGAACGAGGAACUUAUUAUGCAAUUCUACUCCACGGCACACUUCUAUCCAGAUGGUAGGAUAACUUGGAUGUCUGAAGGUAUGAGGUACCAAUCUACAAUUGCUGAGUGGGCACAGCUCAUCAAUGCCCCAGAGGAGCAUGAGGAUGACUUGGAUAUCUAUGCCAAGAAGAAGAUGGACCACAACUCUAUGUCCAAUAUGUACAAGGAAAUUCCAAACGAGGCACUUGAUACUUUCAAGUUUGGGUCUGUGCAUUAUCUUCUGUCAGGGCUACCAACAAUCAAUUGGAUACUGAGACACACCUUGUUGCCCAAGUCAGGUGAUCACAAGAUGAUUAGAGGCCAUGCAAUCAAUUUGCUUCAUGUAUUUGAUGUGCCACAGAAGUUCAAGGUGAUGAGCCUCAUGGUAGAGACUAUCAAGAGGACUGCAGCAGAUCAGAAGAGGAGCUGUGGAUAUGCCCCACAGAUUCAGGAGCUCAUCAACUCCAAGAUGGGCACAUGCAUAUACUUAUUGGACAAGGAACACCUGCCCAUCCAUCCAGAUUUUGAAGAUAAUCAAGUUGUUAUGACUGAGAAUGAACCAUCGUCUGCACAAGCACAAGCAAAGAAGGAGAAGGCAAGGAAGGAGAAAGCUGCCAAGAUGCCAACUCAAGAGGAGGCAUUUGAGUAUUUCUUGAAAACCAAACAAGAGCAGCUUGGUUACUUGAUUGCAUCCACACUGAGGAUUGAGCAAGGACUGGCCACCCUCACUCAGAAUCAGCAGAGCCUAGAGAGAAUCAUGGAACAAAAGUUCUAUGACUUGGAUGUCAAGGUGACAGAGAUUCAGACUGCAGUGGAGCAGCUCCAAGAUGACAUGCAGGAGAGGAGAGGCAAGACUACAACUGAUGCAUUUGCCAGAGUGCCAAGAGCUCAGAGAUCAUAUGCAGUGCUAGUUGCUGACACCAGAGCCACCACGUCUGCACCAGCUACAGCUUCAGUUCCACCAGCUCCAGCAUCUACUUCAGCCUCGAGUCCGACCACGUCUACAGAAGGCUUCGUCCUUGGAGUGCUCCGGACUCCACCACCACCUGAAGAUCAAGCCUGAGCGUCGAUCUAGCACUAUGCAUUUUCUAGGAACUUUUUGGUAACUUGUUGCCAAAGGGGGAGAAAAUGUAUAGAUCAUAGGCUUCGAGAGAGAGAGAGUGUUGCUUUUAUUCUCUCUUGCUUUAUUUGGUGGUUUUUCGAACUUUGUUUGCUUUUGAGUGCUUGAGAUACUAUGCUUGUGAGACAUUGAUGAUCAUGUGUUUGAUCAUAAGCUACACUUAAUGUUUGCUUAAUGUUAUUAUCUUAUCUAUCUUAUGUGAUCAUUCACUAUUCUUGGUGAUGAGUGCAUGUAUUUCAUUCUUAUCAUUUUAAGCGCUCCACCAAGAUGUAUGUGACAUGGAAGAGUAACCCAUGACUCUAACUCUUUGUGCAUUUGCAGUCCAAAGCAAAUUUUAAAUAUGCACAAAUUUAGGGGGAGCUCUUACUUUUCACAUACUUCUCAAAGCGAUGAUAUAUUUCAUGCUUAUUAUCAUUUGUCGAAACUUUGAUCUAUAUGUUGUCAUCAAUUACCAAAAAGGGGGAGAUUGAAAGUGCAACUAUCCCUACGUGGUUUUGGUAAUUCAUAACAACAUAUAGCUCAUUGAGCUAAUGCUAUGCCAAGAUGACUAUUUCAGGAAAGCUCAAUGAUUGGCAUGGCAUGGAUGUGAAAGUGGAACCCUCAAAAUGCUAAGGACAAAGGAUUGGCUCAAGCUCAAAAGCUCAAGACUCUUCAUUUUAUAUUUUAGUGAUCCAAGAUCACAUUGAGUCUUUAGGAAAAGCCAAUACUAUCAAGGAGGGAUGAGGUGUUGCUUAAUGAGCUUCUUGCUUCAUGCGCUUAGUGAUAUGCUCCAAAAUCCUCAGCUAUUUUCCCAUAUCCACAUAUGACCUAAACCCUAAGCCAAACUUGGUCCUACCGAUUCUUUCUAUCCGGCGCCACCGAGUUUCAUUUGUCAUAAGCCACUGCCAAACCAUAGCAAAUCGGUUCUACCGAUAGGGAUCUCGGUCUCACCGAGAUGGGAUUGCAAACUCUCUGUUUCCCUUUCGUAACUUUUCGGUCUCACUGAAAGAGCGAAUCGGUCCCACCGAGAUUGCAAUGUAAAUUCAGUGUUUCCUUUUUGUAACUUUUCGGUCUCACCGAAAGAGCAAAUCGGUCCCACCGAGUUUGCCUGACCAACUCUCUGGUUAGCUAAUUACCAAAAUCGGUCUCACCGAGUUUGUGUAAUCGGUCUCACCGAGAUUACGUUAUGCCCAAACCCUAACCAUAUCGGUCCUACCGAGUUGCAUGUCAGUCCCACCGAAAAUCUCUAACGGUCACUAGGUUUACCUUUUCGGUCUGACCGAGUUUGUUGAUUCGGUCCGACCGAGUUUGGAAAACUGUGUGUAACGGUUGGAUUUUGUGUGGAGGCUAUAUAUACCCCUUCGCCUCCUCUUCAUUUGUGGAGAGAGCCAUCAGAACACAUACACAAUUCCAACUCAUAUGUUCUGAGAGAGAAUCACCUACUCAUGUGUUGAGAUCAAGACAUUCCAUUCCUACCAUAUGAAUCUUGAUCUCUAGCCUUCCCAAGUUGCUUUCCACUCAAAUCUUCUUUCCACAAAAUCCAAAUCCUAUGAGAGAGAGUUGAGUGUUGGGGAGACUAUCAUUUGAAGCACAAGAGCAAGGAGUUCAUUACCUACACACCAUUUGUUACUUCUUGGAGAGUGGUGUCUCCUAGAUUGGCUAGGUGUCACUUGGGAGCCUCCGACAAGAUUGUGGAGUUGAACCAAGGAGUUUGUAAGGGAAAGGAGAUCGCCUACUUCGUGAAGAUCUACCGCUAGUGAGGCAAGUCCUUCGUGGGCGAUGGCCAUGGUGGGAUAGACAAGGUUGCUUCUUCAUGGACCCUUUGUGGGUGGUUGCUUCUUCAUGGACCCUUCGUGGGUGGAGCCCUUCGUGGACUCGCACAACCGUUACCCUUCGUGGGUGGAGCCCUCCGUGGACUCGCGCAACCGUUACCCUUCGUGGGUUGAAGUCUCCAUCAACGUGGAUGUAGGAUAGCACCACCUAUCCGAACCACGGGAAAAACAUCCGUGUCUCCAAUUGCGUUUGAAUUCUCCAAACCCUUCCCUUUACAUUCUUGCAAGUUGCAUGCUUUACUUUCCGCUGCCAAUAUACUCUUUGCAUGCUUGCUUGAAUUGUGUGAUGAUUGCUUUACUUGUCCUACAAUAGCUAAAAUCUGCCAAGAACUAAAAUUGGGAAAAGGUUAAGUUUUUAUUUGGUCAAGUAGUCUAAUCACCCCCCUCUAGACAUACUUUCGAUCCUACACUAAGAAAUCGGGCUAAGCGAUCAACAGGUGGUGGUGGUGGUGGGUUGUUGUUGUUGUUGUUCCCCUGGUUCUGAUUCUGGACUAGCAACUGCAUCAAUGUGUUCUGCUGCUGGAUCAACUGGGUGAGCUUCGGUGGAAAGGUAAAUCCGGGGUCACGUCUCGGAGGCAUCUGAGGGUUUAGAAAAGAUGAGAUGUAAGAAUAGAGGGGGUCUAAAGAGAAAACACUAUCCAUAUCCACAUGAGGCAAAAGCAAACAAUUCACUUCAUUCAAUCAAACAAGGGCAUACAAUCGAUCUAACUAUCGCAAAAGUGCUCGGACUACUGUAUUUACAUGGUGGACUACUACUACUGAUGGGGUGAUCUACUAGAAAUAUUCUUCAGUUGCAGACUCCAUGAUAUCUGCUCCAGCUUCAUCAAUAUAGUCAUCAUCGCUAUCAUCUGGAUCCGAAUCGAUGUCAUCGAUGAUGAUAUAGUCUUCCGGGUGAAUCACCUUGGGUUCUUCGUCUUCAUCUACUGGUGUAGGGCCUCCCAUAAAUAUCUCGAUCUUCUUGAUCAGAUCGUCAUUCUUCUCCACCAAUACUUCAAUUUCCUCUUCAUAAUCUUCAUGUGUAGCCUUGAGUUCUUCCUCCAGUUCCUUGAUUCUAGUCUUAGCCUCCUUCAGAUCUAUCGUGUCGGCGCACAUCUAGUUCUCCUGUCGUCGAAUGUGCUGGUUUAACUCCUGGAUAAAAGCUGCAAUUCAUCUAUCCUUUCUGGUGCUGAUCAUCUCCCAGUGCUCAUCUCGGCGCCCACAAAUCUGGUAGAUAGUAUCCUCGAGAUCAUUGCGGUAGACUUCUCCAAUGCGUCCCAUGGCGAUGUGAGCUGCCAUGCUCUUUCCUAGACUCCAAGUUGGUGCAUCAAAAGAAAACUCUAUGGGCUCAGUGACUGGCAUGAACGUCCUUCCUGGAACUUGAACUUGAAUCAUCUAGCGCUCUUCUUCAGGUAAAGUGGCUUUGUAGGUUCCGGUGAAGCUUGGUACUCCUAUGUUCAGAUAUCUAGUGACUUCCUUCAAGUGACGUCCAAAGGGUGUAUCUUCAUCCGGUUGUAUGAACUUGUUCCUUGCAUCCGCCAUCCUAAAAGAGUAGAAAAGAUGAGAAGUCAGAAGAGAAGAGAGUGAGUAGUGAUCUAGGUCUUUAGCUUAGUGGUCGUGUCCUACAGUCAGUGUGUGCUCUGAUACCAUCUCUGUAGCGACCAGACCUCAAACAGUCUGAUCUCUGUGCUCCGGUGUCAUCCCUGGAUCAGUAAUGCUGACACCACACAGUACUCGGAGGAUUUAUAACAGAGUAGCAAUCACACACUUAUUACAUCGAGUGUCUCCAUAGAGAACUUAUUAUAAUAAAUAUGGCUUAAGGCCAUCUAAUAAUGAUAACAGCGGAAGGCUUGGAAGAUAAGUGAGUCCAUCAACUCCAACGGCAUCACUGAGUAUAGAAACCACGACCUAAAAACUCCUUAAUCAUCAUCUGAAAAAUCUGCAACAUUAACGUUGCAGCCCGAAACGGGUCAGCACAUGGAAUAUGCUGGCAAGGUAACACAUAGAGAGUAAUGGAAUGAAACAGCUAUACUAUAUGCAUAUCUGGCUAGUGGAAAGCUCUAUGAUUACAGUUUUGCGUAAAGCCAAUUUUUCCCUACUUCGAAGGAAUGAAUUUAUUUAACUAUCAUGGUAGUUGUUAAACAUUGAGAAUGGUUUACAGCAUUCUCAAUCCCAAUUAAGCAUCAUUAUUAAACAAAAUCCCACAAAAUUAAUUUAGAGUAACAGGUUGAGAUUCACAUGAUAAUCCAAGUACUAGAUACUCAAGAUUGUCCAUAACCAGGGACACGGCUAACCAUGAUUAGUUUAUUACACUCUGUAGAGGUUUGCGCACUUUUCCCCACAAGACUCGAUCGCCUCCGUUUGGUUUCUCGCACUACAUGGUGUUUGAGAAGAUGGAUGACCGAGACAUAGUCUUUCAGAAGCGCUAGCACCUUACGAUCGGGUAGACCGUACCACCUACAUCCCCUACAUCUACUAGUCUACCACUGUAAGAGUUCGCACGACUUAGUCAACUAUGCUAGAGCCCAUAAUAGCUUGUGGCUGCACACGGAAGUUUCUAGUAUGAAUAGUCUCAUGAUCCCUUUGAGCCUGGGUGGCGGUCCAAAAGAAAACAGGCAAGUCCUGGAAUACCCAGGUGCCUCAAUCCACCCAGAUGUGUGUUUAAGUUGCCACCUUAGAUAAACCAUUAAUUAACAAACUCACAUCUGUCAUGGAUAUCACUCACCCAAUCCACGUCUACUAGCAUAGCAUGGCAUAAUAAGCAAACGUAGAAGUAACUCCCAAAGGUUUGAUAAUAAACAGGUAAUAGGUACUACCUCAACUAAUUCCCAUCCCACAAUUUAAUUAGAUCCUAAUCAUGCAAUGUUUGAGGAUUAAUCUAAUGCAAUAAAACUGGGUAGUAGGAAAAGUAUGAUCAAAGUGUUACUUGCCUUGCUGAUGAUCCGGGAAACCUAGCGAUUUGAAGUAACAAGCGGCGCACUCCGGGUAUUCUAUCGCAGAAAAACAAACAAGCAUACAAUAAGUACUCAUCUAAUGCACAGGUAAAAGUCAAAUAAGAGAUCUAACCAGAAGGUUCAACUUAAGAACUCUGGUUGGCAAAAAGAAUCAAAUCGAACAAAGCAACGAAAGUCAAACGGCGAAAGAAAACAACUUCAUUCUACUAAUUUGGAUCUAAGGCAAAUUUUACAGUAGCAAAAACUUGUUUAAGUAGGUUAAACGGAUAGAGGGUUUCGAGACGAAACUCCAGGCGCUUGAAUCGCCUGAUUCCGAUAAACGAGCGAAAAGUUAUACUAAAACGAAAAUCGGAUCAGGAGUCGCGAUCAGAAAAAUCGCGGAUUUAAUCCGAGAAAAAGAAAAAUGAUGAACAUUCGUUAGAACGAACGGACGGACGAACGCUCGCUAUUUAAAUAAAUCGAAAAAACCGAUCUAUUUAAAAAAUCCGAAACUAAAAAAAACCGACGGAAAAACCGAACGGUUUUUCGAAAAAAAUAAAAAAACCGGUGCGGAAAUCGAGGCGCUUCGAACCUCGGGCGGCAGCGGCGUAGGCGGCGGGCGGCGGCGNNNNNNNNNNNNNNNNNNNNNNNNNNNNNNNNNNNNNNNNNNNNNNNNNNNNNNNNNNNNNNNNNNNNNNNNNNNNNNNNNNNNNNNNNNNNNNNNNNNNNNNNNNNNNNNNNNNNNNNNNNNNNNNNNNNNNNNNNNNNNNNNNNNNNNNNNNNNNNNNNNNNNNNNNNNNNNNNNNNNNNNNNNNNNNNNNNNNNNNNNNNNNNNNNNNNNNNNNNNNNNNNNNNNNNNNNNNNNNNNNNNNNNNNNNNNNNNNNNNNNNNNNNNNNNNNNNNNNNNNNNNNNNNNNNNNNNNNNNNNNNNGGGCUGGGCCUCCCCCCGGCUUAUAUAGCCUAGUCGGGCCGGAGUCCUAGUCGGACAAGGCCUAUUAGGUCGGUUCAUUUUUUUAGUAAUUACGCGCAGAAGAAAUAUAAAAAGAAAUACUAAACGGACUCCAAAAAUCCCGAAAUAAAUUUUUCAAGGGCUUGUAAAAUCAAGCCGCACAAGGUGAACAUUUAUUUGGGGCCUAAAUGCAAUUUUGAAAAAUGCACAUUUUUCCUAAAUUCAAAUAAAAUAAUGAAAAACUCCGAAAUAAAAAUCUUAUUUGAUUUUAUUAUUAAAUCCUCAAUGUUUCUUUAUUUUGGGAAAGUCAUUUUAUUCCCUCUCUCAUAUUUUUGUAAUAGAAGUAAUUGAUGAUAAAAUAAAUAAACUCAAAUGAUCACAUUCUCAAAAUUUGAGAAAACUCAAAUGUGAAAAUAACGAAAUCCCCAACUCUCUCCGUGGGUCCUUGAGUUGCGUAGAAUUUCUAGGAUCAAAACCAAAAGCAAAAUAAAAUAUGAUAUGCAUUUAUGAUCUAAUGUAUAACAUUCCAAAUUGAAAAUUUGGGAUGUUACAAGGAGUGAUCUUAAGAAAUUAUUAGCUAAGCUGAAACAAAAAACUCUGAAUGCUAGAAUGAAAUAUGAUCCUGCUUAUGCUACUUCACCUAUCUUUGUUACUGAUAAGGAUUAUGAUUUCUCUGUCGACCCCGAGAUAAUUACUUUAGUUGAAUCUGAUCCUUUCUAUGGCUAUGAACCUGAAACUGUUGUGGCACAUCUUACUAAAUUAAAUGAUAUAGCCACCCUGUUCACUAAUGAUGAGAAAACUCACUAUUAUUAUAUCCUUAAAUUAUUUCCGAUCUCAUUAAAGGGUGUUCCUAAGAUAUAGUUUAAUUCUCUUGAUCCUAGUUGUGUGCGUAGUCCCCAGAAUAUGAUUUAUUACUUCUCUGCUAAAUAUUUCCCUGCUCAUAUGAAACAAGCUGCUUUAAGGGAAAUGUAUAAUUUUGUGCAAAUUGAAGAAGAGAGUCUCCCACAAGCUUGGGGGAGGCUUAUCCAAUUACUUAAUCCUUUGCCUGAUCAUCCUCUUAAGAAAAAUAAAAUACUUGAUAUGUUUUAUAAUGGACUAACUGAUGCUUCCAGAGACCACCUGGAUAGUUGUGCUGGUUGUGUUUUCAGGGAAAGAACACCAGAUGAAGCUGAAAUUUUAUUGAAUAAUAUAUUAACUAAUGAAAAUAAUUGGACACUUCCUGAUCCAAUUCCUGAACCAACUCCUAAGCCAACUACGAAGAAGAGGGGUAUUCUAUUUCUCAGUCUUGAAGAUAUGCAAGAGGCAAAGAAAUCUAUGAAGGAAAAAGGUAUUAAAGCUGAAGAUGUUAAGAAUUUACCUCCUAUUGAAGAAAUACAUGGUCUUAAUUUACCGCCUGUUGAAGAAAUACACGGUCGGUAACCCGACACAGGUAGUAAAGGUAAAUUCUCUCUAUAGAUAUGAUAAAGCUGAAAUCCCAUUAACUAAGUUUGCUAGCCCAUGAUUGGAUGAGUUUGAUGACUUUAUGGUUAAACAAGAAAACAUCAAUGCUUAUUUUGGUAGAGAAUUAAAACGCAAUGCUGAUAUGCUUGAACACUUGGCUGAUUAUAUGGUUAAUAUUAAAGGUGAACUUAAAGUUAUUAGUAAACAUGCUUCUAUGGUUACCACUCAAGUAGAGCAAGUACUUAAAGCUCAGAAUGAUUUGCUCAAUGAAUUCAAUAAUAAGAAGAAUGAUAAUGCUAUUAGAGUUAUGACUAGAGGUGGUAAAAUGACUCAGGAACCUUUGUAUCCUGAGGGCCAUCCUAAGAGAAUUGAGCAAGAUUCUCAGAGAACUAAUAUUGAUGCACCUGGUCCUUCUAAGAAGAAGAAAAAGAAAAAUGAUAGGACUUUGCAUGCUUCUAGUGAACCUAUUGUAGACACACCUGAGAGUCCCAAUGAUAUUUCUAUUUCUGAUGCUGAAACACAAUCUGGUAAUGAACAUGAACCUAGUAAUAAUGGUAAUGAUGAUGUUCAUGUUGAUGCUCAACCUAGCAAUAAUAAUGAUGUAGAGAUUGAACCUGCUGUUGAUCUUGAUAACCCACAAUCAAAGAAUCAUCGUUAUGAUAAGAGAGACUUUGUUGCUAGGAAGCACGGUAAAGAAAGAGAACCAUGGGUUCAGAAACCCAUGCCUUUUCCUCCUAAACCAUCCAAGAAAAAGGAUGAUGAGGAUUUUGAGCGCUUUGCUGAAAUGAUUAGACCUAUCUUCUUGCGUAUGUGUUUGACUGAUAUGCUCAAAAUGAAUCCUUAUGCUAAGUAUAUGAAAGAAAUUGUUACAAAUAAAAGAAAGAUACCGGAAGCUGAAAUUUCCACCAUGCUUGCUAAUUAUACUUUUAAGGGUGGAAUACCUAAGAAACUAGGAGAUCCCGGAGUAGCAAUUGUACCAUGCUCCAUUAAAAGAAACUAUGUUAAAACUGCUUUAUGUGAUCUUGGAGCUGGUGUUAGUGUUAUGGCUCUCUCUUUACAUCGUAGACUUGAUUUGAAUAAGUUGACACCGAGUGAAAUAUCUUUGCAAAUGGCUGAUAAAUCAACUGCUAUACCUGUCGUAUUUGUGAGGAUGUGCCUGUUGUGGUUGUAAAUGUUACUAUUUUAACGGACUUUGUUAUCCUUGAUAUUCCCGAGGACGAUAGUAUGUCUAUUAUUCUUGGAAGACCGUUUUUGAAUACUGCAGGGGCUGUUAUUGAUUGCACCAAAGGCAAUGUCACUUUUCAUGUUAAUGGCAAUGAGCAUACGGUACACUUUCCGAGGAAACAACCUCAAGUUCAUAGUAUACACUCUAUUGGAAAAAUUCCAUCGAUUAUUUUUGGAGGUUUUAAAUUUCCUCUUCCUACUGUCAAGAAGAAAUAUGAUAUUCUUAUUGUUGGGGAUGUGCAUAUCCCCGUUGAGGUAACCUAGUGUUAUUCGAAAAUUCUCAGGUUCCAUGUUAUUCAGAAUGAGUUUAUUAACAAGACCUGAUCAACCUUGUUAGUGGAUUCCUUUUGAUGAGCAUGAGAUGGAUGUAUUUAGAAAACACAACUCUUGGUACCCUCUUUUUACUUUCUGUUAUUUAUAUUAAAUAAAGCAAAAAUAGUAAUUUUUUCUGCUUUCUGAAUUCUCAAUGCAAUAAAAAAUACCCCAAAAAUAUAAGUUGUACAAAUGCCCUAAAAAUUAAAUAUGAUUUUUUCUAGAAUAUUUGAGAAUAUCUGGCACUGAGAACACAACAGGGGGAGCAAGCACGUGGCCACGAGGGUGGAGGGCACGCCCUACCCCCCUGGGCGUGCCCCCCUGUCUCGUGGGCCCACGGUGGCUCCCCUCCACUUAUUUCGGCUACCACACACUCUUUAUUCCUCCCACAAACAUCACUAACCAGCUCAAACCCGAGUCCAAGCUCAUUUUGCUGCCAUUUUCGAUCUCCUUGCUCAAAGCAACUCUCACAAAACUGCUUGGGGGGAUUGUUCCUUGGUAUGUGACUCCUCCAAUGGUCCAAUUAGUUUUUUCUAGUGCUUUAUUCAUUGCAUAUUUUUGCUGCUUCGGUGACCCUGUUCUUAAGCUUGCAUGUCAAAUUUAUGUGGUCAAAAGUAGUUUUGAUGCAUGAUAUUGCCUCUAGGCACUUGUAGUAGUUGCUAUCAAUAUUGUUGAGUUUGGUUCACUUUUAUUUUGAAGUUACUAAAAAAUUUGAAAUUUUUCAGAGGAAAAAUAUGUUUAGGAAAAUGUACCAAGGUGGUCCUUCAAGGAAGCAAGGACCCAGGCUCGCAAUAUGCGAUGCCGACGAAGAACCACCGAGGGAAGCUCAAGUGCGGGCUUGUGAAUGGCCUUCAGAGGACUUUAUGGAUCGAGCAAGAAUCAAGGAAGAAUUUAACGCAUAUGUGUGUAAUGCUGAUCUUGAGAGCUUCGAGGAAGAUAAGUGCUGCCAGUACCACUAUCUCACUGAUUCCUUUGUGAGGAGGCAAAAGGGAGAUAUGUUAUAACCAGGGAGGAGGCGGAUGAGUAUAAGAGGAGGACGGAGAUGGCCCGUCUCCAAGUGGCAGCUCAUGAAGCAAUAGCUGUUGCAUGUCAGUAUGACCCCAGCUACAACUUUGGAUAUCCGCCAGGCCAGCCGUGGCCAUAGACCAACUUAGGCCAAAAGCCUAAGCUUGAGGGAGUACGUAUUUCUCACCGACAUUACAUUCAUGUUCACACACUCAUUGCUAGUUGUCGGUGCUCAUACUUUUUCAUUGUAUCAUCCAUGAUAGUUUAUUUUCCUUUUUUAUGCUUUCUUCUUGUGUGUUUAAUAAACCUUAAGAAAAACAAAAAAAAUUAGUUGUAGCUUUUAAUUAGUUUACUUUCCAUGCUUGUAGUAGUAAUUAAAAAGAAAACUCAAAAAGAUUUCUCAUUCUUCUUUUGCUUGUUGGGAGCUUUCCCGUGUAAAUAGUUUUAUUUCUUUUCUUGUUCUUUGGGGGUCGAUAGGAGAAGACCAUAAUGAAAAUGUUAAAGUGGCUCUUAUAUGCAUUAUCGUUGAUCUGACAAAGAUCCCAUAUUACCUUGUCUUCUCUCUCUUGAAUUGAAUGCUUGCAGAUUCCAGCUUAGUCCAAUGCAUGUGUGCUAUUAUUAUUAUCCACACUAUUUGGUCGUGCAAGUGAAAGGCAAUAAUGAUGAUUAUAUGAUGAACUUAUUGAGAUGAGAAAAGCUGGUAUGAACUCGACCUCUCUUGUUUUUGUAAAUAUGAUUAGGUCAUCAUUCCUGAUUCAACCUAUUAUGAAUAAACAUGUUUGCAAUGACAAUUAGAUAUUAUAGUUGCUUAUGCCAUGCUUAAUCAGCUAGGAGCUUAUAAUGGUUUACCUUGCAUGCCAACAUGCUAUUAAAAUGGUUGUGAUGUGGUAUGAUAGGGUGGUAUCCUAUUUUGGAUGAUUCGAGCGGCUUGACUUGGCACAUGUUCACGCAUGUAGUUGAAACAAAAUCAACAUAGCCUCUACGAUAUUUAUGUUCAUGGUGCAUUAUAUCCUACUCAUGCUUGCGUUCAUUGUUGAUUAAUUUUAAUGCAUGUUCAUGACUGUUGUCGCUCUCUAGCUGUUCGCUUCCCAGUCUUUUGCUAGCCUUCACCUGUACUAAGCGGGAAUACUGCUUGUGCAUCCAAUUCUAUAAACCCCAAAGUUGUUCCAUAUGUGUCUACCAUACCUACCUAUAUACGGUAUCUACCUGCCCUUCCAAGUAAAUUUGUAUGUGCCAAACUCUAAACCUUCAAAUAAACAUUCUGUUUUGUAUGCUCGAAUAGCUCAUGUAUCAACAAGGGUUGUCCGUAUCUUCCAUGUUAGGAGGGUUAUUCUCAAGAGGACUGGACUCCGCUCCUCACUCACGAGAAAAUGGCUGGUCACCGGGAUGCCCAAUCCCAUGCUUUAUGCAAAUUAAAUCAAAAUAACUGCAAACAAAACUCCCCCGGGACUCUUGUUAGUUGGAGGCACUCGUUGUUUCGAGCAAGCCAUGGAUUGAUGCUUGUUGGUGGAGGGGGAGUAUAAACUUUACCAUUCUGUUUGGGAACCGCCUAUAAUGUGUGUAGCAUGGAAGAUAUCGCCAUCUCUUGGUUGUUAUGUUGACAAUGAAAGUAUCCGGCUCAAAAUAUUAUUCAUAUCUAUUUCAAAACCGAGCUCUGGCACCUCUACAAAUCCCUGCUUCCCUCUGCGAAGGGCCUAUCCAUUUACUUUUAUGCCGAGUCAUCAUCAUCUUAUUAAAAAGCACUAGUUGGAGAGCACCGCUGUCAUUUACAUCCAUUACUGUUAGUUUACAUUGAGUAUGACUUGACUGGAUCUCUUUUACCAUGAAUUACAAUGUCUAGUCAGUCCUUGAUCUUUAAAAGUGCUCUGCAUUUAUGUUUUGCGGUCUCAGAAAGGGCUAGCAAGAUACCAUCUUGUUAUAUCAUAUCAUGAUUGUUUUGAGAAAGUGUUGCCAUCCAAGAUUUAUUAUUAUUGCUCGCUAGUUGAUUAUGCCAUUGAUAUGAGUAAACAUGAGACCUAAAUGUUAUUGUGAAUAUGGUUAGUUCAUAAUCUUUGCUGAAAAAUUGAAUGCUGGCUUUAUAUAUUUACAACAACAAGAGCAAACAUAGUUUGUAAAAGUUUUUCUUUAUCACUUUUAGUUUAUCAACUGAAUUUCUUGAGGACAAGCAAAGGUUUAAGCUUGGGGGAGUUGAUACGCCUCCGUCAUAUCUACUUUUCCAAACACUUUUGCCAUUGUUUUGGACUCUAACUUGCAUGAUUUGAAUAGAACUAACCCGGACUAACGUUGUUUUCAGCAGAAUUGCCAUGGUGUUAUUUUUGUGCAGAAAUAAAAGUUCUCGGAAUGACCUGAAAAUCAACGGAGAAUUAUUUUGGAAUAUAUCAAAAAUACUGGAAGGAAGAUCCACAUCAGGGGGGCCUCCACUUGUCCACGAGGGUGGGGGCGCUCCCUACCCCCUGGGCACGCCCCUGCCUCGUGGGCCCCCUGAUGCUCCACCGACCUCAAACUUGAGUCCAUAUAUUCACUUUCGGGGAGAAAAAAAUCAGGGAGAAGGAUUCAUCGUGUUUUACGAUACGGAGCCGCCGCCAAGCCCUAAACUCUCUCAGGAGGGCUGAUCUGGAGUCCGUUCGGGGCUCCGGAGAGGGGAAUACGUCGCCAUCGUCAUCAUCAACCAUCCUCCAUCACCAAUUUCAUGAUGCUCACUGCCGUGCGUGAGUAAUUCCAUCGUAGGCUUGCUAGACGGUGAUGGGUUGGAUGAGAUUUAUCAUGUAAUCGAGUUAGUUUUGUUAGGCUUUGAUCCCUAGUAUCCACUAUGUUCUGAGAUUGAUGUUGUUAUGACUUUGAUAUGCUUAAUGCUUGUCACUAGGGCCCGAGUGCCAUGAUUUCAGAUACGAACAUAUUAUGUUUUCAUCAAUAUAUGAGAGUUCUUGAUCCUAUAUUGCAAGUCUAUAGUCACCUAUUAUGUGUUAUAAUCCGUUAACCCCGAAGUGACAAUAAUCGGGAUACUUACUGGUGAUGAUCAUAGUUUGAGGAGUUCAUGUAUUAACUAUGUGUUAAUGCUUUGUUCUGGUACUCUAUUAAAAGGAGGCCUUAAUAUCCCUUAGUUUCCGCUAGGACCCGCUGCCACGGGAUGGUAGGACAAAAGAUGUCAUACAAGUUCUUUUCCAUAAGCACGUAUGACUAUAUUCGGAAUACAUGCCUACAUUACAUUGAUGAAUUGGAGCUAGUUCUGUGUCACCCUAGGUUAUGACUGUUACAUGAUGAACCGUAUCCGGCAUAAUUCUCCAUCACCGAUCUAUUGCCUACGAGCUUUCCAUAUAUUGUUCUUCGCUUAUUUACUUUUCCGUUGCUAUUGUUAUCAUCACUACAAAACACCAAAAAUAUUACUUUUGCUACCGUUACCUUUUACCACCGUUACCACUACUAUCAUAUUACUUUGCUACUAAACACUUUGCUGCAGAUAUUAAGUUUCCAGGUGUGGUUGAAUUGACAACUCAGCUGCUAAUACUUGAGAAUAUUCUUUGGCUCCCCUUGCGUCGAAUCAAUAAGUUUGGGUUGAAUACUCUACCCUCGAAAACUGUUGCGAUCCCCUAUACUUGUGGGUUAUCAUACCGGACCCCCCCCCUCCGAGAGAAAUAAUGGGCCUUAUGGGCCUUAGUGGAGAGAGAGGGCUGGCCUAGGGUGGCCACGCGCCCCUUGCCCUCUGGUCCGAAUUAGACUAGGAGAGGGGGCGACGCCCCCCUUUCCUUCUCCCUCUCCCCCUUCCUUUCCCCCUCCUAGUAGGAGUAGGAAAGAGGGGAGUCCUACUCCUACUAGGAGGAGGACUCCUCCUCCUGGCGCGCCAUAGAGGGCCGGCCGACCUCCCCCCUUGCUCCUUUAUAUACGGGGGCAGGGGGCACCUCUAGACACAAGUUGAUCAUUGAUCCCUUGGCCGUGUGCGGUGCCCCCCUCCACCAUAAUCCACCUCGAACAUAUCGUAGCGGUGCUUAGGCGAAGCCCUGCGUCGGUAGCAACAACAUCACCGUCAACACACCGUCGUGCUGACGGAACUCUCCUGUGAAGCUCUGCUGGAUCGGAGUUCGUGGGACGUCAUCGAGUUGAACGUGUGCUGAACUCAGAGGUGCCGUACGUUCGGUACUUGGAUUGGUCGGAUCGUGAAGACAUUCGACUACAUCAACUGUGUUCUCAUAACGCUUCCGCUUAUGGUCUACGAGGGUACGUGGACGAUACUCUUCCCUCUCGUUGCUAUGCAUCACCAUGAUCUUGCGUGUGCGUAGGAAUUUUUUUGAAAUUACUACAUUCCCCAACAAGAGGCAUGAGUUAACAUACUUUCUCUACUUGGAUCAUAUGCACUUAUGAUUGGACCCCUAGCAAGCAUCCACAACUACUAAAGAUCAUUAAGGUCGUGAAACCCAACCAUAGCAUUAAGUAUCAAGUCCUCUUUACUCCCAUACGCCAUAACCCACUUAUCCGUGUUUAGGCUGAUGUCACCCCCGCAACACUGACAAUAAGUAAACCAUGAACAUAUUGCAACACCCUAUAGCGGGGCCCCCUCACGUUUGUGCGAGACGGAGGGCACCGUAGGACAGCACCAUAAAUAAAAUAUACAAUCAUACCAACCAAGAUCACGAUUAACCCAUAGGAGAAAGCGGAUCUACUCAAACAUCAUAGGAUAACCAUAGAUCAUUGGGAAAUAAUAUAUGGAGUUGAGCACCAUGUUUAAGUAGAGAUUACAACGGGGAGAAGAGGUGUUACACCGCUGCAUAGAGGGGGAGAAAGUUGGUGUUGACGGUAGCAAGAUUGUUGAUGUAGAUCGUCGUCCCGAUCAUUGCCCCGGCGGCACUCUGGUGCCACCGGAAGAGAGGGAGAGAGAGCCCCCAUCCUUCUUAUUCUUCCUUGCCCCCCCUAGAUGGGAGGAGAGUUCCCCCUCUCUGUUCUCUUCUGUUUCACUCUCUCCAGAUCUGGCCAAAAACCGUUUCUUAUAUUCCCGGAGAUCCGUAACUCCGAUUGCGCUGAGAUUUUAACAUGAUUUUUUGGGUAUAAGCUUCCUUGCACCUGAAGUAGAGCUCCAACUGACGUGCGAGGUGAGCACAACCCACCACCGCGAGCCAGGAUCCUCUAGCGCGCCCUGGUGUCUUGUGGGCUGUGUGUGCCUCCGUUUGUGGUGAUUCCAACUCCCAAAAUCACAUAUAUUCCAAAAUAAUUCUCCGUGAAAUUUUAUUGCAUUUGGACUUCAUUUGAUAUGGAUACUCUGUGAUACAAAAAAUGCAGAAAACAAGAACUGGCACUGGGCACUGGAUCAACAAGUUAGUCCAAUAAAUCAUAUAAAAAGUUGCCAAAAGUAUGUAAAAGUUGUAUAAUAUUGGCAUGAAACAAUCAAAAAUUAUAGAUACGGCGGAGACGUAUCAGCAUCCCCAAGCUUAAUUCCUGCUCGUCCUCGAGUAGGUAAAUGAUAAAAAAGAUAAUUUUUGAUGUGGAAUGCUACCUAGCAUAAACUUGAUCAUAUAUCUAAUUAUGGCAUGAAUAUUAAGACAUAAGUGAUUCAAGGCAAUAGUCUAUAAUUUGACAUAAAGACAUCAAUACUCAGGCAUCCCAAUAAACAAUCACGUCUUUCAAAAUAUCAACGCUAAAGAAAGCUAUCCCUACAAAAUCAUAUAGUCUUGUCAUGCUCUGUCUUCUUAACACAAAGUAUUUAUCAUGCACAACCCCGAUGACAAGCCGAGCAAGUGGUUCAUACUUUUUAAUGCGCUUCAGCUUUUUCAACCCUCACGCAAUACAUGAGCGCAAGCCAUGGAUAUAGCACUAUAGGUGGAAUAGAGUAUGACGAUGGGGUAAAUAUACAGAAGACAAAAAAAAAA